rnacentral:lncRNA from 1 species
UUUUUUAUUUGAGUCGAGCUUGGGCAAAAUUUUAGGCUAAUUUUUUGGGCUGAGCCUAGGCCUAAAAACGAGCCUAAAUUUUGGCAUUGGCCUGACCUUGCCCAUGACUGGGUCUAAUUUUGACCAUUUUAAAGAGUGAUUUGUAGCCUUUAAAUCAAAUGACUAAUGCCUACUUGCAACCAUUGUAUUUAAGGAUCAAAAGGGAACUUUAAAUAUGACUUUUUGAGAUGAAAAAAAAAAUGAAGAAACCCCUUCUUUUUCUCCAGCAAAAAAAAAACAAUUGUUUGUUUUUUUUCAUGAGAAAACCUUUUUUCUUUCAUCUCUUUUCAUCUUCCUUCUUCUUUACACCAGCCCCGUUUGAAGCCCUAAAGAAAUCAUAGUUAAUUUCUUGAAAGCCCAUGAAAAUUUCCACCAAUGAAACCUUUUUGUCUUAGUUUUAGCUUUGGAGAGUUGAGAAUUAAGAAAGAAGGUGCGGAGAAAGUUUAGAAAGCAUGGAAAGGUUAAUGAAGCAACGUGAGAAAUUUUGGGUUCAUAUUGUAUUUCAUGUUUCAUUUUAGUAAGAAUUUAUAUUUUAGCUAAGUUGAAAAUGUGUAAUGAUUGAGUAUUAAUUUUGUGUUUAUGUAUGUAUUUGAAAAAGAAAGAGGUUAAGAAGAGUGGGAAUAUCAAAAAAAUAAAUUAGAGAGCAGUGUCAAUUUUGAGCUCGAUAAGGUAUGUGCUCUCUUGAAUUCCACAUUACCAUUGAAUAUUUAUGUUUGAGUGCUUAUUAAAAUGCCUAAUAUCUUUAUUGAGUAUCUUAAAAGUGGCAAAAUGAUAUAGGACUUUGUUGAAUCUGGUACCUUAAGUGUAGUAUAUUCGUUUUGUAUACUUGUAUUUUUUUCAAACAGAUUGGUUUAAUAAAAUUAUCCAUAAAUUACAUUAAUACCCUUUGUAUAUAUUCGUCAAUAGUUUUUGCACGCAAAUCAAAAUGGAAGCAAAUAUUGGCUCACUACUUAUCUAAUAUUUAACUAAUACUAAGGGUUAUUAUGUGGUCGGAUUGUAAUAUGGAAAGACAACUUAUAUCAGUAUAUGAAACUAAAAUGUCCUUAGUCUAAUUGGAAAUGAGCAAACUGAUUCAAAGACUAAUAUGUCGUCUAUUAAGUCUAAUUUGGGAGAUGAUUUAUCUCAAGUAUUAGAACGGAUGACUCCCAAAAGAUAGAGACAUAGAUGUAACUAAUUGGAUUGACAGUAUAUUAAGCAAGACCUAAGUAGAAUAUAUCCUAAAUUUAUUUAUGAAUUUAUUCACUUAUGAAGUUCAUAGUGUGACAUACCUUAAUCAUGAGUGGAUGAUGGACUAUGCAUGUGUGACUCAUAUACUUUGAUGCAAGUAAAAGCCUAAGUUUAUAUGGAUAAGGAACAAAAAGUUGGUGCAUUGGAUAUACGAAUUUUGCAAUAUGUAGCAUCAUUCACAAUAAUGAAAUUUAUAGCCCAGGAAAUGAGUAAAUGAUAUCCUCGAAUUGGAAUUACAUGAUAGAUGAAAGAUAAAUUGGCCACAGGUCAUUUGUCUUUGUGAUAAAUGACUUAAUUACUAUUUGAUAGUAAUUGACUUUUCAUAAACGAAGAUGUAAUGGUUACCAUGAGAUAAAAUAGGAUCAUAUUGGGAGAAUGAAUUUAUCCUAAAGAGAUUAAGGAUAUUCUAUGAGGAUAAUGCACUUAUGAUAAGGUCAUUAGAUGAAGACUAAUCGAGUAGCUUUCGUAAUGAUAUGUAAUUAGGGAGAGCUCAUUCACGAUACUAUAGUGGAAUGACUUCGUGACUAAAUGAAUUUAUAAUUAAUAGGCGAAAAGCUAGAACUUAAUUAUAAAUAAUUUGAGCCCUAAUUAUAUAUGUUCAAUUAGUCCCUUCACUAGCUAGUUGAAACUAGAAAUGAGUUGCAUGUAGAAUCAAAUGAACAUAAAUGGAUGAAAAUGAUAAAAUUAGAGAAAUGGAAUACAUUUGAAAAUGAAUGUGUUUUCUCACUAACUAUGGAAAUGAUAUGAGAAUUAAUUUAAGUUUUUUGAAUUAUUAUUUAAUCAAACAAUUGAAGUUUAAAAAUUAAAUUAAACCAAUUGGUCAUUGUGAACCCAUUGAAUAUGAAAAUUAGAUAUAUUUUCUCAUAGAUUCUUUUCCGAUAAAGUUGCCAUGACCUUAACGGAAUUAGAAUUGGAUUGAGAAAAUUAUUUAAAAGAAAAAUUAAUUUAUCUAAUUAAAUUAAAUUAAUAAAUAAUAUUUAUUUUGAGAAAUAGAAAAACAUGUACUGAGUUGGAUUAAAUUAUGAAUUGUUGGGUUAAAAGUCUUGGAAGCACAUAUAAUUGGAUCUAAUAUAGAAGAAGCCCCAAAACCCCUCAUAAUACAUAUGAGGGACGACAAACCUAGUAUAUUUAACUAGCGUGUGUCGGCCCCUUCUCCUUGUUAAACUAGGAGACUAGUUUUUCUAUCAAAUAAGUAUUAUUUGUGUUCUACUAAUUCAAUCGAGAUUCUUUUAUCUCUCUCUAUAAAUAGAUGACACUGGUAGAGUUAAAAAUAUACAACUUUGAGAUAUUUUUAUUCUGCCAAAAAUAGUAAGAAUUUAUUUUAUAAGUAUAAAUUAUAUUUUCUAGGAAUAACAAUUCUAUUGAUUUCUAUUGAGAGAGAAUUACUUUCCUACUGAAAGUAAGAGAUUGUUUCUAGUUUUGUAUUUUGUUCGUGACUGUUUGAGCCCACAUUCGAAGUGAUUUGUGGUACGAGAAUAACAAAGAAGGUCAUUUGGUUGAAAGCCAGAACAUCUAGGAUCUAUCUAGCACAAAGCACAAAUACUUUCGGGAAGAGUUUAUUGCUAUAAAUAUCAUAAACCAACUCAGUUUUCAAAUUUUUAAUUUUUCUUUGUAACAAAAAACUAUUUUUAAAUCAGAUUUUUUCCAAUAGACUUGUAUGCCUCUAAUGAGAUGAAUGAAUUUGAGAAAUAAAAUCAUUAACAAGUAUGUAAAUUAGACUAGUUGACAAGGAAGUUAGAACCAAAAAAAAGAAAGAAAAAAAAAGAGACUAAUAGAUAAUGAAAUGGAAAAUACUAUGAGUUGUUAUAAUGUAAGUGUGCUUGUUGAUGAGGGGGGGACUGAAAUGAUAACUGUUGAGAAAAUAGUUAAAGUAUUGGGCCUAACUUGAAAUGUGAAAAAGCAUGAAUCUCAUUGAACUUAUACUACCAUUAAGCUUAAUUAAUGUGAGCUAUGAAAACGUUAAUUACACUACAGGAAAAUAGGGCUUUAGCGGCGUUUUUAGCGGCGUUUUAUUAAAAAACGCUGCAAAAAUUGUAAAACAUAGAGCAAUAGCGGCGCUUUUGGUAAAACGCCGCUAAAAGACAGAGUAGUAGCGGCGCUUUUGGUAAAACGCCGCUAAAAGAUAGAGCAUUAGCGGCGCUUUUGGUAAAACGCCGCUAAAAGUCAUAUAACUCCUAAAAUCUUAAACCCCCAAAAAAUCAUAAGCACUGCUUUAUAACCCCUAAAAUAGUAAACCCCUAAAUCCUAACAAACCCUAAACACUAAACUAUAACCCUUAAAACCCUAAAUGACGCAAUAGGUGCAUUUUUAGUGGCGCUUGGUUAUAAACGUCGCUAAUGUUAAAUUAUUUUGUUCAAAACUUCGUCGUUUAUCUGUCUUAUAUAUUUUUUACCCACACCUGAUACACUUAACAUUUUCUCCAUUUUUCCCUAGUUCUAUUUCCCCCUUCUUCCUCAUCCUAAAUCCCUAAAGUAUUAUCACCCAUUCCCAAAUUCGACAUCCAAAUCCCUAACGAAUUUAAUAAUAAUAAUAAAGUAAUUUUAAUAAUUAAACUUAAAUUCAGAAAUUUGAAACAUAGAAGAAUUAAAUUCUUAAGAAUAGAAAUAUAAUGACUAAAUUUUAAUUUUACGAAAAGUACAAAUACUUAUCUCAUAUUUUAGCUUUUACAGAUUAAGUGGUUUAGUAUUCAAUUUGUUAAAGUAUGUUAAGAGAAUUACUUUUUCUUUUUUAAGAUUUAACACUCCUAUGUGAGAAAAUAUUAUUUAACUCGUAUAUUUAUUAAAAGUUUAUAUAAAAAUUAAUUUAAAAGUCUAUAUAAAAAUUAAUUGUUAUUUUAAUCAUAAAGUUAAUUGUGUUUCGAAUUUUUAUUAUAGAAAAAUAUUUGUUAAAAAUGAAAAAAAUUAAAAUACUGUUAUUUAAAAUAAUUUUAAAGUUUUUUGGGUAUAUGACUUAUUGGUUUUUAAUUUAUAUAUUAAAUAAAUUCUUAUAUAAUAGUAAAAGAGAUAGUCUUAAUAAAUUUUAAAAUAUUGAAUUAAUUAUCAUUAUAGUUUAAGAUUUAUGGCUUAGCGUAUAUGAUUUAGGGUUUAAAAUAUAAGAGUUACUAUUUUAAGGUUUAUGGAUUAUGGAUUAUGGAUUAUGGAUUAUGGGUUUAUGGAUUAUGGUUUACAGUUUAUGGUUUAAGGGUUGGGGUUUAAGGUUUAGGUGUUAGGGGUUAGGGGUUAUGGGUUAUGGAUUUAAGGGUUAUGUUGUAUGAUUUAAGGUUUAGGGGAUAAAAGUUAGGAGUUUAGGUUUAGAUUAGUUAAUUAGUAUUUUUUAAUUUAUAUAUUAAAUAAUUUUUUAUAUAUUCGUAAAAGAGAUAAUAUUAAGGCUCUGUUUGUUUGCAGGUAAAAUGUUUUCUGGAAAAUGAUUUACUUUUCUGGUGUUUGGAUGAAUCUGUGUAAAAUAUUUUCUGUUGUUUGGCAGAUUUCCUGAAAAUAUUUUCCUGAAAAGCUGUUUUAAUAAAAAUUUAUAUAUUUAAGAAUUUAUUAUCUUUUCCUUGUUUGAUUGAGUUUACUUUAUAUAUAUAUAAAUUUAUAUUUUAAAUUUAUACAUUAAUAAAAAAUUUUCCUUCAUAUUUUACCCGGGUAUAAUACGUUGCUGCUGGUGCUCUGUUUGAAAUUCUUACUUUACCCGGUUAAAGUGUGUUGAAACUCCAACAACAUAUUAUACUUGUUAUGGAAAUAUUUUAAGCAGCUUUCUUUUCUAACAUUCACUGGUUUACAUAAGAAAAAGACAAUUCUAAAUAUCCCAACUCAUAUCUCCAUUUUAUGAUGAAAUUUGUUAAAUGAUGAAAUUUUAUGUAAUCAAUUAAUGCUUUUAUAUUUAAAAAUAUUUAAUAUAAACAAUUUGAUAUAUAAAAAUAUAUAAAAAAUUAAAAUUUAAUCUAAUUAUUUUAAAUAUUACUUAAAUUUUUUUAAAAAAAUAUUUAAAAUUAAUAUAAAAGAUAUAAAAAUUCAAUAUAAAAAUUAUAAAAAAGUCAAAAAUUAGCGGCGUUUAUGAUAAAAACGCUGCAAAAGACAAGCAAUAGCGGCGUUUAUAUAAAACGCCGCAAAAGGCAAUCAAUAGCGGCGUUUAUGAUAAAAACGCCGCAAAAAGUAAUUUAUUUUAAAUAAAACGGUACCGUUUUGAUAAAAUAUGCGGCUAAAUUUUAGUUUUGAUUGAAACGACGCCGUUUUAUUUCUCUCCCCCCCCCAAUUCCCUUCUUUCCCGAUUCCACUCUCUUUCUCAGCCUGUACUUCUAUUUCUCUCCUCCGAUUCCCUUUUCUUUCCCAAUUCCCUUUUCUUUCUCAGCCUUUCUCUGACUAAGCCAUUUGCCUAAAUCAUAGUUCCCCCGAAACCCUCAUUUUCUCCCAAAUCAUAGUUCCCCCAAAACCCCAAAAUUUCCCUAAAUCAAACCCAUUUGCUGUCUCCCUCUCUCUUUUCGAUCGACAGGUAUUAUAAUUUUCUAAUCAAACCCAAAGCUCCUUCUUUCAUUUUGAUUUCAUUGCAGCAAGCAAGCCGUUUAUUUUUUAUUUCAUUUCGACUUCGAUUUCACUUCUAUUUUAUUUUUGCAGCAAGCAGAAAGAUUAAGGGAUUUCAUUUUGAAAUCAAACCCGAUUGAAGGCUACCUUUGGCGAGUCCAUCAAAUCAAGGUACUCUUAUUUACUUGUUCUUUUGAAUCCUAGACUUUAGCAUGCUGACAUUUAUAUUUUUUUUUCUUUUGUGUUCUUUAGUAUAUGCCAUCUAUUGGGAAUUUUAUUGUUGUUCUCUUUCCCUCUGCAUAUGUAGUUAGUUUCCUAUUAUGGGAAUUUAUUUUGUUGGUUUUGAUUUCUGCGUUUGAUUUUGGCUUUUUGGUUCUUUGAGUCGGAAGAUUGAUGGCCUUUUAUGGGCUAGUUUGAUUUAUAUUGGCAUUUGAUUAUACAUGAUUGGAAAAUGGUUUAAUAUGUAUAGAUUCUCCAAGACUAGAAACUUUAUCCUUGAUGUUUCAAGUUACUGAAUGAUGAACUUGGCUGUCUUGAAACUACAACCUACACAUGAGUAACCUUCGAUACCGUAAACAUGUUUUCGGUUAUCAGUUCAGUGUCUUCUCAUGUGAUCAUUGGUAGAAGCAAUUCCUUAUAGGAUUAGAUAGUUUAGGUUAGAUAACCCGACCUAUAUUGAAUUGCUUGCUCUAUUUAUUGUGUUUUGGUUUCAAUGGUCAAUAUUCUGGGCUUAUUAAACUCUAAAAAUGCGUGUCACCAGUCAUCCUCAUGAAAACAUGCCUCAAAAACACUCUUUGCUUCUGCUGUUGUGCUUGUGCUGCCUUACACUCAAAUAUUUAUGUUACCAAUCUUAGCUGGUCCAGUCACCUUUUCUUCCAUGAUCUUCUGCAUAUUGUGUAACGUUAAUACAUCCUUCCUUAUCCUGCAUUGCUUUUACACUGUUAAAUAGCGGGUAGUAGCUAUCCCUGAAGUUUUCUGGCGAACUUUAGAGUCAUAAAAACCCUGGCUAAAGACUUCCUGAUUCUGAAAUUUGCUGCCUUACUUUGGAGGGCACCUAUUGAUAUAAUUAAUAAUUACGACCUUUUUUGGGUAAAAUAAUGUGAAUUUGCAUUUAAUUAAAUUGUUUAUUUACCAUAGAAUCUUUUUUUCGCAAGCCCCAUGAUAUAUAUUUUCAUUUCUCAUUAUUUUAUUCUAAGAUCUUUUUAUCAUAAUACUAAAUCUACAGUUAAUGGCUCUCUACAUACUAUUGGUGCAUGCCUCUCCAGCUGUUAUCAAUUUUAUUAUGUGCAUGCCUUGCCAUUUUCUUUUAUUUUGGUAUAUAUCAUUGAAGCUUGGCAGUAUACAUACUAUUGGUGCUUAUAAUUUGCUCAUAUCGUUGGCUGUCAUUAGUGAUACCGUAACUGCAUAUUUGUUUUAUUUUCUCCUUAAUCCUCAAGUCAUGCUCUAAGAAAUAUAUGUUCUGGUGUUGAUUUUUUUUAUGCAUGCUUAAUUUAGUAAAAAUGUUGUGUAUUCAUGGAAUUUUUGCAACGAUUAUUUUUAUAUAAAAAGUAAAGGAGCAUUCUGGAAUUAAGAUGAAAUGUAAAAUUUUUAGAAGCAAAUUAAUCAAUUAAUACUUUUAAUCACAUGUAUUAAUCUAUUACAAUUUAUUCUUAUUUUUUUAUUUAUAUACAUGGUUUCUACAGGAAUGAAAAUUGAUAACAUUAAUUCAUGAAAUAUGAUAAACCCUAUUUUUAUAUAUUCUGAAAGCUCAGAAGAAGGCACUACUAGAUCAUGUAAAGUUUUAUUUUGGCUGCUAACAACGAAAAGGUCUUCUAAUUCUCUCAUCAAAUGGAAUUAAAAAGAUGAAGUGAAGCUCUCUAUCAAAUAACUUGUUCACUUAAAUUCUUUUUACUUGCCAUUAUAGAUUUUGAACUACUUUAAUCUCUGAACUGUUAAAAAACUUAGCUUGUUUUCUUGCUUGUGUCUGCCAUUCCAAUCUUAUCAGGAUGAUGCAAUAUGUGCCUUCCUAUGUGAUAAUAAAUUUGAAACCAAAUUCCACAGUUUCGCUUUCUUUCAUGUUUGAUGUGCUAGUAUCUUUAGGUUAUCUUUGAAUGAGAGAAAUGAAAUGAUUUGUUUGGUUGGCUUGAUAUAUAUCUAUAUUUAAUGGUAAUUGGAGAUAUGUUUUGAGUGAUUAGGAAUAUUAGUCCUUUUGGUGCAUACAAGGACCAGUUUCUAUUAGUAGUAGUAGUUUUAAGUUGGUUAAGUAUUUGUGAGGCCAUAGUGUGCCCUGAGAUCUUAUAGAUUAUGAUUGAACCUUCACAGGAAAGGUAGAGAUUGAAGCUCAAAUCUUAGCUGCUGAAGCAGCAGCAAAAAUGAAGGCAAAGGUUGAGCUGAAAAAGCUACGGGAAAGAGAAGAGAAGCUACUGGAAUUACAUUACAAAAGGUUUUUAUCUUUUUCUUGCGUUUUCUUUUUUGUCCUUAUUAUGUUUAUAUAGUGGAGGGUUUUAGAGGCUAGAACACUGUAAUACCAUAUAGUAUAUACAAAAUAUGAAACAGACCAUGCCAUUAUUUAUUGAACAGGUAAAAAACACUUGAGAUCUAACUUUUGAAUUUUAAUUGUGCUAUUAAUUUAUUAUUUUAAAUUGUAAAUUUAAAUUCAUUAAUUUUUGUAUUUAGUUUUAAAGUUAAAAUUUUAAUAGAAAUUUUUUAUAUUUAUAUCAUUCAAUAUUUUGAUAAUGAAUUUUAAAUUUUUUAUAUUUUUCACGAUUUGUUUAAUAUUUUAUAAUUUUUUUUUCAAAUAAACGCCGCAAACGUUAGCGGCGUCGGAAAUAGCGGCGUUUUUAGCGGCGCUUGGAAAAACGCCGCAAAUAGUUUUAGUGGCACUUGAAAGCGCCGCUAAAGGCCUAAAAAACGCCGCUAAAAGUCAGUUUUGCUGUAGUGUUAGAAAGGUUUAAUGGAAAAUUAUCAACUUUAAAAUUCAAUUGAUAAGUGAUAUGGCUAAACAAGAGGUUAGAUAAGCAUUUUGAUGUGGGUUUAAUUGAAUAUGAAAGAGGAAAAGUAGGAAAUUUCAUCUUGAAUUUUUACUUAUUAAGAAUUGAGAGUAAAUCCCAUAAAUGGGAAAUAAGGAUUUGUUGCAAAUGAUAAUUGAUUUAGACCUUUAAAUAAAUGAAAAUUGAUGUCAGUAAUUAAUUUUUAUAAGAGUUAAAGUUUGGUACGAAUAUGAUUAAUUUUGGUAUCAUAAACCGGUGGCAAUUCAAAGGCAGUGAAGCAACCUUAAAGAUUUGGAAAAAAUCGAAUUGAAGUAAAGCCAUACAUAGUUAAAAAGUUUAAUGAAACAAAAAUAAGUUGUAUAUGAAUUUUGAAUUGAGAACUAAAAAUAUUUUAGUGAAGACAACUCAAAACUGUCUGGUAGCUAGGGAUGAGUAAAAUCCGAUUCGAUUCGAAAAACUCAAUAAAAAAUUCAAAUUUUGAAUUACAUAGUUUGAGUUAUUUGAGUUAAUCAAGUUAUUGGGAUAAACUCAAAUAAAAAUUAAGUUUUUCGGUUUAACUUAAAUAUGAAUUACACAAUUAAAGUUAUUCAAAAAUUCGAAUAAGAAAAGGCAAAACUACAUUGUUUUGAUAAAUGUUUACCUUUCUAAAGUUAAAAGUCAAAACCAUUAAGUUAAAAGGAAAAAUUACGUCAUUUUGAUAAAUGUUUACUCAUUAAAUUAAAAGGCAAAACCAUUAUAUUGUUUAUGUAAUUAAAUAAUCUUGAACUUUGUCUACUAGUUAAAUAAUUAGUCCAUGUAAACGCAACAUUGAGUAUAAAUAAUAGGAUUCGUUAACUCGACUUGACUUUACUCAGAAUUUUUUGACUUGAUUUGAUUCGAUUGGAAAAAAAAUUCAAAUUGAUUUCGGUUGCUAAAAUAGGAUUUGUCAACUCGGCUAACUCAAAAUUUUUUUACUUGAUUCGAGUCGACUCGAUUGAAUACUCACCCUUACUGGUAGCAGCCCUAUUUUGACGUCGAAAAAGUGCUGCACCUUUUGUGCUUGCUAUUAAAUUCUAAAAUUUUUAUGGGAGAAAGGCAAUUGAGUCUAGUUUCUAAAACAACAAACAGACCUUGAUUUUGAAUUUGUGGAAUGAGAUAUAAACAAAAUAGUGACUGAUCUACUACGGUUAGACAAUCAUGUAAUUUUAAAAAAUUAGGUUAUUUAAAUUAUUUUGUAUAUAUGAUUUUUUUUUUUGAAACAAAUUGUAUAUAUGAUUUUAAAUGAAAGAAAAAGGUAUCUAUUGAGAAUGGAUUAUGUUAGGAUAGACCAGAUUAAGCAACAAGUAAAAAAAAAUAACUGAAUAAAUUGAGAAAUUGAACAGACAAAUUUAAUGUGGAAAACCCCACAAAAAGGAUAAAAAACCACGGGCAAAGAUAAUUUUACUAUAAUGACAAAAGAACGAAUAGUACAAAAGAUGGAGAUAAAAAACUAAAUCCCGAAAACCCGAAAACAAAGAACCCUCAAAACGAAAACACAAAAUUCUCUAAAUGUGUUAUGAGUUCUAAUCUCUAACAGGUGUAUUUUCUAAGGUUAUAAAAGAACCUAUUUAUAGGCUAAAUUAGUAGGUCAAAUAAACUAUGCUAAUAAAUGCUAAAUAUAUUAUACUCAUAAAUUCUAAUCUUCUAGAAAGAAAAUAUAUUUUGUUUAACUUGACUUGCAAGCAAUCUCUUAGAAUUUGGGUCAUACAACUCUAACAAUCUCCACAUUGACACGAAUUCUUACAACGCCAUCUUUGCCAAAGCCCGCCACGGGCCUAUCUUGAACUAUGCAGGGAAUUAACUGAGUCGAAUUUGUACUUAAAAGAUGGAAGACUUCUAGCCUUCGACUUGUGCAUUGCCAAAUCAAAACUAACCCGAGUCUGAUUUUCACGAACACAGUGCCCUAACUUUUCAAAACCUACAUCCAAAAGAGAACCUUUUUUCAACGAAACGGUCAUACCUUUUUCCCUCUUAUGACCAAGUUGCCUUUGCUCCAAACGAGUUGAAUUUGACUCCGUAACGGAUGAGGGACGUCUGAUUUCACCGGUCACUGUAGAACCUUCUAGAAUAUAAAGACUAUCGGUUCUUUUACCUUUUAAAAAAACGAGAGCCCUACGAGAUACUUUAAUGUCACUCGACUCAAUAUUGAUUCUGCAUCCUUUCAAGUCUAAAAUACUCAAGGAGAUGAGAUUCUUUCGUAAAUCAGGUGUAUACCUAACAUCUGAGAGUACCCUAAUCGUCCCAUUAUGUAUCCUAAUUUUGACAGUACCAAUACCAAUUACCUUACUAGAUGAAUCGUUUCCCAUGUGCACAACUCCACCUUCAACCGAACUGUAUGUGGAGAAUCAUUCUCUAUUGGGACACAUGUGGAAAAGACAUCCCGAAUCUAAGAUCCACUCAGACGCAAGCUUAGAGUUAUCGCUCGUUGACACUAACAAGAAAUCAUCACUGCUUUCAACGGCCAAUUUAGCACCAGGUACAUAUUUCUCAUUACUCUCAGCAACGCUUUUAUUUCGCAGUUUAUAACAAUCUGCUUUGACGUGACCUAACUUUUUACAAUAGUGACACAUUUUGUCUCAUUUCUUUGAUGCUACCAAAACGGAAGCUUGCCUAUCUACCUUGCUAUCCAAACCAAACUCAUUGUAGAGUUUUUCUCCACUCAAAAAAUAACUCUUUACAUCUUCGAACAAGAGUUUGUCUCUACCAUAAAUCAGGGUCUCCUUGAAAGACUUGUAUGAAGGGGGUAAAUAGUACAAUAAUAGCAUAGCCUGAUAUUCAUAGUCAAUAUGAACAUCAAUGUUCUUUAAAUCAUUUAAAAGAGUAAUGAAUUGAUUGAUGUGAUCUCUAAGAAGUUCAUCUUCGUUCAUGUAAAACAUAAAUAGACGAUGUUUCAACACUAAACGAUUAGCCAAAGACUUAGUCACAUAAAGAGUUUCUAACCUUUUCCACAAGGCAGAUGAGGUCUUCUCUAUCAAUACCUCCUACAAUACCGUAUUCACGAGGCACAACUGGAUUGCAGACAAUUUCAUCAAGCUCUUCCCAUUCUAUUUAAUUUAGAUUCUCGGGUUUUUUCUCGGUAAUAACCUUUUUCAAGCCAGUUUGAACUAGAAUUGCCAUCAUUCGAACUUGCCACAUAUUGAAAUUUGUCUCACCAUUGAACUUCUCAAUUUCAAACCUUGUUGUUGCCAUAUCUGAACGGGCUGAUCUAUGAAAAUUGAAUUAGCUCUGAUACCACUUGUUAGGAUUGACCCGAUUAAGCAACAAGUAAAAAAAAUAGUAGAAUAAAUUGAGAAAUUGAACACACAAAUUUAACGUGGAAAAACCCUGUAACUCCCUGAUUAAUUUAUUUUUACUUCUGUAAAAUCUAAUAAAAUUGUGUAUCUGCUUCAGUGGUUAGGUGUUCCGGGUGUGUGUGAAAGGUCUUGGGUUCAAGUCCCACUUCUAUAAAUUUUGUUAUUUUUAGAAUUAAGCCUUACCCUUGUUAAAUGGGCUUAUAGAAAAUUGUUUGUUAAGCCAUAUCAGAAUGAGUCUGCUGGCUCGAAUGGUAAGGAAGUUAGUGUAUUGGAGGUCCUGUGUUCAACUCCCCGCACGAGCGUAGGUAUUAAUUUUUGCUCUAUUGUCUGAUAGAGUUUCAGUAGAGCUUAAAGUCUGAGGGAGUUAUGAGUAGUGGGAUUAGAGGGAGAAAUCUAAGGGAUUUGAGAUAUCCACUACUUGUAUUUUAUUUUUAUUUUUGUUUUGAAAUUUAUUUUCUCUUCCUUCAAGAAAAAUCUGACGAUAAUUUUUUUGUUUUCCCUUCUUGUUGUUUCUUUUCCCCAUCUCUGCGACCUUUUAUUUUACUUUUUUUUCAUUCGGUUCUUAAAUCCGUGGUUUGGUCGUACUGUUGGAAUUUUUAGGUUCGUUUCUUUGGUGUGGUAAGUAGAUUUCUGUUGCCGUCAUUUUUGGUUUGGGACUUUCUUUAUUAGCGAGAACAAUCUAUGGUGAUUGAAGGGUGGUAUUGUUUAGGAAUAGAUUGUGGAGUAGAGAAUCACAUUUCAAUGGUUUAGAACGCGUAGAGAGGGUUUGUUGACUGUGGUAAGUCAGUUCCGUGUUGAUUCUUGUGUCGAAUUCGUUACUCAAUUUGCUAAAUCGAUGUAGAGUACCUUGUUUUUAGGUCUUGGAAGGCUCAGGAUAGUUUCUGCAUCAAAAUGAUACCAAGUGUGUACUCGAAACGCAGAAAACGAGGAUUCGGUAAAAGUUGAAAAACUGCACUGUCGACGCUAGCGUGUGGUCACUCAUGUGGAUGGCUGUGUGCAAGACACGGCCGUGUGGUGGCUUGAGUGUGGCCGUAUGGGCCACACGGGCUAGGCCAAUUUAGGUGUGUAGGCCACACGCGUGUGUGGGCCCACACAAGCAUGACACAUGUGCGUGUGGAUUCUUUGGCCAGGCCGUGUGGGCCAUCAGGAAUAUGUGGUCCCAUAUUUCUGUAAUUUUUUGUAAGGUCGUACGGGUUGCUUUGAUAGACUGUGGGCCUACUGUAGGGUCGGUAAGGGCUAAAUAAACCCUAUUCUAUAUGCGAUGGAAUUUUGAUAGACUGAUCUAAGUAGGAUACUAAAUGUAUGUCCAACUGUAUUGUGUAAGCAUGUCUAUUAUCUGUACCUAAGUAUGUUAAGCAAGUUUAUUCUGUAAUUUUGUAUCUAUUAUCUGCAUCUGUUUUGACGUGGGAUUUAUCUGCGGAGGAAGUGUUCUGUACUACGAUCAUUGUCUAUUAUCUGGCAGCUUGGCUGCACUAUAUCCGAUACGUGUCGUAAUGGCACAAUAUGGUGUGUAGGGAUGGGUUGGUUUUUUUAACCCCACAUGGUGUGUUGAGAUGGUCGGAGAUGGUGUGUAAAGGAUAGGGGUAGGGUUCUAUUUACUGUAUCUGAAAUAGGCCUAAGCCCAAAUCUGUAUUUGUAUCUGACAGUGCAUAUGAUUCUGUUUGUAUUUCAUGUCUAUUUUUGUUGGGUUAUACACUGAGUUUACGUAAACUCACAUCUGUUAUCUGUUCUAUUCAGGUAAUCUACAGACCUAGGCAGAUCGGUGCGGUGGAGUCUUGCGGUGACCACUAGUCCACGAACUGAAUUAAUUAGGGGUUUUGUUCAUUUAUUUCAAAGGUUUUUUUUGGGUUGAUUGGACUUUUCGGAUUGUUUUCUAAAAUUUCGGGUUUUAGAUUUUGUUUAAUAUUUUAUCUGGACGACACGCUAAAACACGGUUUCCAACUGCAAAGGUUUUCUAAAAAUAUGUACUGCAUUUUUAAAAUAUAACGAUUUUAUUAAACUUCCGCUGUAGAUUACAUUUUUAGCAAAUAAUUGGGAUUAAGUAACACUUUCAGAAAUUGGCAUAAGUGAGUACAAAUUUUUGAAUCGUGAAUAAAUUGGACGAGAUGACUUUGUUUUCAAAACUCGAUCUUGUGACACAUCCGAAUUCGGCCAUAAUGUCUAGGCUGGGUUUGGGGUGUUUCAAACCCCUCCAAAGAGGAUAAAAAACCACAGGCAAAGAUAAUUUUACUAUAAUGGCAAAAUAACAAAGAGUACAAAAAAUGAAGAUAAAAAACUAAACCUCGAAAACCUGAAAAUAAAGAACCCUCAAAACGAAAAUACAAAAUUCUCUAAAUGUGUUAUGAGUUCUAAUCUCUAAUGGGUGUAUUUUCUAAGAUUGUAAAAGAACCUAUUUCUAGGUUAAAUUAGUAGGUCAAAUAAACUAUGCUAAUAAAUGCUAAAUAUAUUAUACUAAUAAAUACUAAAUCUUCUAAAAAGAAAAUAUAUUUUGUUUAACUUGACUUGAAAGCAAUCUCUUAGAAUUUGGGUCACACAACUUUAACAGAUUAAAUAUAAAAGACAUGAUACGAAUCAUUUGAUAAUGAGAUAAGAAUGAUAUUAAUUGUUACUAUGAAAUAAAGAAACGAAAUAUAAAUGAGUUAUGAUUAUUUUUUGUAUAAAUGAGAUUGAGUCAAAUGUAUGAUAAUAUUGAAAUCUAGCUUGUUAGGAGAAUGUUAAAAACAAGUUGUGUUUUAAGUUUAAGAAGGAUUGUGAAUGAGACAAGACUUAUGAUACGACUUGAAAUUUGAAUGGGAAGAGGUUACCUUUUGUUAAGCUUAAGUGUAAAAACUUUAUGAAAUUUCUUUGUGCAUGUUAAAAUGGUGAAAUAAAUAAGAUAGUAGAAAUACACCUAACUGAGGUUUAAAUUUAGUUUGAAUAAUGAAUUGAUAAAUUUUUUGUAAUAAAGAUGUUUGAUGUAAGAAAUGGUAAAUAGGAAAAAUUGAUUAUGAUAUGUGAAAAAUAAAUAUGAAAAAUUCAAAAUGUGCAUAUUAAUGAAAAUGCUAAAUCAAGUUGUGAUUAAAUGAGUCACUAUAUUUUAUUUUGAUUCAUGAAAUAAUGAGAAUGAAAUAAGAACUUACAAUAAAGCUUGAAUAUUGAGUAGAGAACGUAGAUUGUGGAAUGACAAAUGAAUUGUUAAGAUAUACUAUUUGAUAUUGAUGAUUGAUAAUGAAUGAUACAUAUAUGUAAAUGUUCUCUAUAUUAUGAAUUGAUGUGGAUAAUGGUAUUAUGAAUGGAAUGAAUUUAUAUUAUGUUAAGUGAGAUUUGUAAAUGUUAAGGAAAAUUGUUAGUAUUCCUAGUGUAACACCCCUUUAACCAUUUUCCGACAUCGAAAUAAGAUUAUGGAUCAUUACUAGUCUCUACAGUUUAUUUCGUAAGUCAUACAAAAUUAAUCAUUAUAAAGUUCAGUAAUUUGUCUUAGUGAUUCUUAAACGGACAUUAGGGGCCCAAUGAAGAUAUUAGAAAUAAAUCGAUACCUAAACAAAAGCUUAUAAAAUUUUCUUUAAUGAACAGUACCACACACCCAUGUGUUUUAGAGACACACCCUUAUGCCUCUAUGACACGCCCGUGUUGUUACCUCGUAUGACUCACAAGGCUAGGACACACCCGUGCUCUUUACCUGUGUACUUCUCCGACUUAUUGCUUAUGAAUAAACUAGUUCCACACAGCUAAGACACACGCCCAUGUGUUUAGCCCGUGUGAAAUUAUUUUCAAUUUGAAUCUAGUGCAGUUUUCACACGGCCAGGCACAUGCCCGUGUACUGUGGCUGUGAUGUGAACUGUGACACACGCUCGUUUCUUUACUCGUGUGGCCAUACUUGAGCAUUCUAUUUACAGUAUCUUAGAUGAAUGGGACAUACAGCCUGCUCACAUGACCGUGUAAGGGCUGUGUGUCUCACACGGUCUGAUCACACGCCCAUGUGACAGGCCGUGUGGACUCAAAAUGAACCUUAUAGUUCAAGUUUACCAACCUUGCAAACUUCAAUAACAAGCAAUUUAAAAUUCAAUCUUUCAACCAAUCCAAAAUAUGAUUAAAUACAUCCAUUUCAUAUUAAAAUCAUCAUUAUUAUGAUCUAACUUGAGUGUAUUAGUAAAUAUUUAACAUAGAACCACCAGAUAGUGUACUUUGGUAUCAUUCAAAAUCAAUUUAAAUUAAAUUAUAUAGAUGACCAUAUUAUAAAUAUAAACUUUACAUUCAUGGGUUAACCAUUAUUAUUCUUACACUGUUAACAUUCACAUUCAAAAUGACUUCCAAAAGACAACCUAGGUACAUGCCAUUUCUCAAAAUAAGAUACACCACAAAGUAUUUGAGUUCGAGCUUGGCUUGGAUGCUGAGUUGUUAGUCGCUUUCAUACCUAAUCUGCGAACGGAAAUAAACCAUACGCUGAGUAUACACUCAUUGGUAUUUCUUUAAACCAAUACUUAAAUUGUUUUUAACACAAAAUGGAUUUAAGCUAUUAACUUCAAAUCUAAUAGCACAACUUAUUUUCAAAGUUCUUUCUCAAUGAAACAUUCAGUUCAAUAACAUAUCAAUCAGUAACAGUAAAUUUUCAAUACAGUAGCACAGUCAUUCAAUUGUCCAGUACAGAAAAUUUACCCCUAUUAACAUAAUUCAGACUUUGGCGGAUAUGCGAAUCCAACCAACACACCACUACGGCACAUUGUGCCUCAUAGGCUUUGCCAAAGUAAACGGUAGCAGUACAGUACAUAGUACCUCAUUAGAUUAAACUGAAGUAACAGAAAUAGUACGACACAAGAAGUGCCUCAUCGACACAAAGUCGAAGUAACAGUACGGCACUUUUAAUGCCUUAUCGACCCAUGGUCGAAGUAUCCCUGCACACUUUCAAUCAUAUGGCAUGUCAAUUAUAUCCAACCUAGCCCGACACUGUUAAUAGGGUAUUCAUUUCACUUAAAUUUUCAGAUAACAAUCAAUAUACAUUGCAAUUCAAGUAUUCACAACUCAAUUCAAUUCAAUAUAAUAAUAGCAUUACUUACCUCUAUAUUACUUACCAUAUAUAUAUAUUUAAUAAAUGCAAUAAUAAUUUUUAAGUUCAGUUUAUAGAAAUUCAAACCGUAAUUCUUGGUUUACUCUUCAUCAACCUUCUCUUUUCCUCUCUUUAUCGAUUUCUCUGGUACUACGUUAGCUACGGAAAUUAAACAAUUUAUACUAUUAAUACAAUAACAAUUUCACAAUAAAUAAUAAAAUUUCUAUUCAAUUCAAACCUCAAUUUUCAAUUUAAUUCUAAUUAGCACUUUUAUUUUUUUUUCACUUAAUUCAUAUUUCAUUUUUAUUCAAUUUCCUACCAUAUUCUCCUUAAACAUUGAAUAUUCAUGGUAAAACCCUAAUCUCAAAUUUCUUUCAAUUUAGUCCCUCAGACAUAAAACUUAUACCUUUCUUUACAAUUUAUUCAAUUAAAUCCCUAAUUCAACAAUUUGUUCAACAUAACCCAUGUCUAAAAAUCUUCUAACUUUUAAAAUUUCCACUUACAUUAAGUAAUAUUUGUCUCUAGGACUCCAAAAACAUCAAAAUUAUAAAGAAAGUGACUUAAUUGACUUACCAAAUUAAACUUCAAGCUUCAAAAACCUAAAUUUUCCCUUUUUCUUUUCUCCUUUCUUUUUCUCCCAACUUUCGUUCCCCACUUUCUGUUUUUUUCCUUCGUUCUUUUUCUUUUGUUUUAUUUUAUUUCUUUUAUGUUUUAUAUUAUUAUUAUAUUAUAUUUUAGUAAUAAUUAUUAUUUACUUAAAUAAUAAGUAAAUACAUACAUAUAUUACAAAUGUAUGUUUUAUACUUUUUACACUUGUGUUUAAUUUUUACCAUACAUUUGGCACCUAUGGUUUAAUUGCUAAUUUAGUCCCUUCACUUUUCUUUAAUCUAUAAUUAAACUUUUACACUAUAUUCAAUUUAGUCCUUACACUAAAUUAGCCUUAAUUGAAGUUAAUUCACUUAACCAAAAUCUAAUUAAUCACUCAACUAGCUUGGUAAAUAUUUCUAAUAAAUAUUUAGGAACCCGAUUUUCUGGAAUAAUAAGCCAGAAACACGAUCUCUGAUACCCGUAAAUUUCAGGUCAUUAUAUUUCUCUCCAUUUAAUAAAUUUUGUCCUCGAAAUUUACCUGAAAAGAGAUGGGGGUAUUGGGAUCUCAUCGUAUCUUUCGGUUCCCAUGUUGCCUCUUCAAUAUUAUGACUUUUCCAUAGUACUUUCACUAAGGUUUGUUAUGUAAUUCAUUUAUCUCUCGGGCUAAUAUUUUAACCGGUUCCUCUUCAUAUGAUAAAUCAAGUCGAAUUUCAAUAUCUUCCGUAGAAAUAAUAUGAGAAGGAUUUGAUCGAUAUCUUCUGAGCAUUGAAACAUGAAAAAAAUCAUGAAUUUUCUAUAAUUCCGGAGGUAAAGCUAAUCGAUAGGCAACCGGUCCAAUUCUCUCCAUAGUCUCGUAUGGUCUGAUAUACCGUGGACUUAAUUUACCUUUUCGACCAAAUCUCAGAAUUUUCUUCUAAGGAGAAACUUUAAGAAAAACUUUGUCCCCAACCGAAUAUUCAAUGUCCCGACAUUUCAAAUCUGUAUACAAUUUCUGCCUGUCAAAAGAUGCUUUUAGACUUUCUCGAAUCUUCUUAACAGUACCCUCUAUUUCUCGAAUCAAUUCUGGUCCAAUCAUUUUCUUCUCAUUCAAUUCUAUCUAACACACUGGUGACCAACAUCUUCGAUAAUAUAAAGCUUCAUACGAUGUCAUUUGAAUACUUGAUUGGAAACUGUUAUUAUAUACAAAUUCAGUUAACGGUAAAUAACGUUCCCAACCUGAUUCAAAAUUAAUGAUACAAGCUCGGAGCAUAUCUUCUAAAAUCUGGAUAACUCUUUCUGACUGUCCAUCGGUCUGUGGAUGAAAAGCUGUACUAAAAUGAAGUCGAGUACCAAGAGACUCAUGUAACUGUUUCCAAAACCUUGAUGUAAAUCGUGGAUCUCGGUCUGAAAUUAUCUAUACAAGAAUACCAUGCAAUCUCAUAAUUUUUAGGAUGUAUGUUUCUGCAAGUUUCUGAAGUGACCAAUCUGUUCUGACUGCUACAAAAUUAGAUGACUUUGUAAGCCAAUCAACAAUCACCCAAAUAGCAUUUUUCUUACUUGAUGACGAUGGUAACCCUAUUACAAAAUCCAUUGUGAUGUAGUCCCAUUUCCAUUCAGGAAUAUUAAUAGGCUGAAGUAAACCAGUUGGAACUUGAUGCUCGACUUUUACUCGCUGGCAUGUUAAAUAUCUAGCCACAAAUUCUACUAUAUCCCUCUUCGUACCUGGCCAUCAAUACAAUUCCCGUAAAUCUCGAUACAUUUUUAAUCCUCCAGGAUGUAAUGCGAAUGGAAUUUCAUGUGCUUCUUGGAGUAUUCACUCUUUCAAUUUUGAAGAAUUCAAAACACAAAUUCGAUUACGAAAUCUCAGACAAUCAUGUUCAUCAAUGCUGAAAUUCUCUGCUACACCAUUCUGAACCAUUUCUUUCCUCUUCAUUAGCUUGUCAUCUUUGAAUUGAGCUGACUUGAUUUGUUUGAACAUCACUGGUUUAAUUCUUAAUUCAGCCAAUAAGCCUCUAUCAUCAUUAAUACUGAGUUGUGCAAACAUUGCUCGCAAUUCAAUUGCAGCUUUUCUACUUAAUGCAUCAGCUACCACGUUAGCUUUACCCAGAUGAUAGUCAAUAACACAAUCAUAAUCUUUUAAAACUUCUAUCCAUCGACGCUGACUUAAAUUUAACUCUUUCUAUGGCAGAAGAUAUUUGAGAGUUUAAUAGUCAGUAUAGAUAUAGCAUUUCUCUCCGUACAAAUAAUGUCUCCAGAUUUUCAGAGCAAAAACCACAGCUUGUAGUUCCAAAUUGUGAGUCGGAUAAUUAUGUUCAUGCAAUUUUAAUUGCCGUGAAGCAUGAGAUAUCACUUUCCCACUUUGCAUCAAUACACAUCUGAGACCAUUUAAAGAAGUAUCACUAUACACAAUAAAACCUUUUCCCAACUCCGAUAAAGUCAAUACUAGAGCUUCCGUUAACAUCUGUUUUAAUGUUUCGAAACUUUUCUGACACUGCUCAUUCUAAAUAAAUAGAACAUUCUUUUGUAAUAAUUUCGUCAUCGGUAAAGCUAUUUUCGAGAAUCCAUUCACAAACCUUCGAUAAUACCCAGCCAAUUCAAGGAAACUACGUACCUCAAACACAUUUUUAGGAGUUUUCCACUAUACAAUUGCUUCAAUUUUCUUUGGAUCCACUUUAAUUCCUUCUGCUGAUACCACAUGACCAAGAAAUACUACCUCUGACAGCCAAAAUUCGUAUUUACUAAAUUUUCUAUACAAUUGUUUCUCCCGUUAUGUUUAAAAAACAAUUCAAAAAUGCUGAUCAUGUUCAAAUUCAGACUUUGAAUAUACCAAAAUGUCAUCAAUAAAAACUACUACAAAUUGAUCCAAGUACGGCUGAAAAAUUCGGUUUAUAAGAUCCAUAAAAGCAACCAGAGCAUUUGUUAACCCAAAUGACAUCACCAAGAAUUCACAAUGCCCAUACCAUGUUCGAAACACUGUCUUUGGUACGUCACUUUCCUUCACCUUAAUUGAUAAUAACCCGAUCUUAAAUCAAUCUUCGAAAACACAGAAGCUCAUUUCAAUUGAUCAAAUAAAUCAUCAAUGCGAGGUAACGAGUAUUUAUUCUUAACGAUCACCUUGUUCAAUUGUUGAUAAUCAAUACAUAACCGCAUCAAACCAUCUUUCUUCUUAACAAAUAAUAUUGGAGCUCCCCACAGUGAUGUACUAGGUCGUAUAAAACCUCGAUCCAAUAAAUCUUGCAGUUGUACUUUCAACUCCUUCAACUUCGUUGGUGACAUACUAUAUGGAGGUAUUAACACUGGAUCUGUACCCGAAUAUACUUCAAUCAAAAAUUCAACUUCCCGAUUAGGAGGUAAUCCAGGUAACUCUUCAGAAAAUAUAUCAGGAAAUUUACAAAUAGUUCAGAUUUUACUACAUUUACUUUCCACUGAAUCUGGAUUAAUAACAUAUGCUAGGAAAGCAAAACAACCUUGAUAAAGAAGCUUACUAGCUUUAUUAUACGAACUAUUCCAUUGGCCCGAAUACCAUUUACUUCAAUCUAAUCACCAUUUUCAUUCUGAAAAGUGAACUUCUUUUUAUAACAGUCUAAACUUACUCUGUGUUCUAAUAGCCAGUCCAUACCCAAUAUAAUGUCAAAGUCGCCAAAUGGCAUAAUCAAUAAAUCAACAGGAAAAUUUCUAUCUUGAAUCAUUAAUGGACUUCUUCGACAUAUUUGAUUCACUAGCAUUGUUUGUCCCAGAAGACUAGACACCUCCACUAUUACUCUAGACAGUUCAGGUUUUAAUUUUCCCAUCUCAACUAGUUUUGUGUUAACAUAAGAAUGUGACGACCCCGGAUCUAUUAAAGCAUAAACAGUUUCUGAAUGUAAUAGAAAUAUACAUGUCACCACAUCGUAUGCAUCUCUUUUUUCUCGAGUUUUUACAACAUAUGCUCGGGCUAGAGUUCUAACUUCCGAUUGUUGAGUGGCAACCUCACUUGUUUUUCUAACACCUCUUCUACUGACUGAACCACUUCUACCUGACCCUCAACCUCUGGAAGCAGAUUCAGAUCUCUGUGAUACCAUUGGUGCUGUUUUAUCAAUCUUUGGACAGUCUUUUACAAAAUGAUCAGUGGAUCCACAUCGGAAACAACCUCCAGUUAAUCUCCAAUAUUUACCCCAAUGUUUAUUCACACAAUGUUGACAUUUCGAAAUUUCAGUAUUCUUAGAUGGCCACCUGAUGCUACUAGUGGAAACUGUCGUCUGUCUACCACGAUUUCUGUCACUUCUAUCUGAUCUAUAACCAAAUCUUCCACUGCUUCGAAAUUCUUUUGAUCUCUUAGGUUGUGGAUUAGAGCUUGUAGUUCUGGGACGCUUCCCAAGUGAACGAGAAAUUUCAAGCUUUUUGUCUAACCCCAACACUUGUUCAACCAUUUUGGCUUUCUUAAUUAAAUCUGCAAAUUCAGUAAUCCGUAGAGACACCAACUGUAAUCGUAAUUCAUCACGCAAUCCUCAUAAAAAUCGUUUGCGUCUAUCAGCUUCAGUCAGUACAAAUUCAAUUGCAUAUCUGCUCAGUCUAAAAAAUUUCCGUUCAUAAUCCGCUAAGGACAUCUCACCUUGUUUCAGCAUUAAGAACUCCUGUUUCCUCUCUUCUAUAUAUAAUUCUCCCAAAUAUUUCUUUUGAAACUCUCUUAGAAAAAAUUCCAAACUUAUUUGUUCCUCUGGUACAUGUUGAGUUACCGAUUCCCACCAUACAUACGCUUCUCAUUGUAACAAAGAAACAACACACAGUAAGCUUUCCUGUGGGGUACAUUCAAGUUACUUCAGAACUCUUUUUGUAGUCUCUAUCCAGUUUUCAGCUACAGACGGAUCAACUCCCUUCGAUCCCAGAAAUUCGGUAGCACCAUACUUUUGCAAUUCUUUAAUCGGGGCUCGUCGAGUUGAAGGGGUAGGAGUUAUAGUAGGUAUAGUUCCAACUGCUCCUUGAAGAGUAUCGGCUAUCACUCAGAGUAUUUCUGUAUUAUCUCUUUCUCUAGUAUCACUCCUUUCAACAUUUGGCAAUUGAUUACCUACCGAAUUUACACUAGGUGUUGCAGAUUCUGAUUCAUUCAUAUCAUACGGUUCAUCCUCUUCACUAUACAUUUCUUGAUUAGUUUCUUCAAUACUUUCACCAGACAUCUUUAACUAUAAAACAAAAUAACAAUAAUUCAGUAUAUAUAUAUAUAUCAGCAUCCAAUCCCGACUCAAAUUUAACUCAACUAUGGCAUGAACCUCGAAACUCGAUUUCGAGCUCGAUUUAGUCUGAGAAUCGGCUAAACCUGAAUAAAUCUGAUACUACUAAAUGAAACACCCCUAACCCUUUUCCGACAUCGAAAUAAGAUUACGGAGCAUUACCGGUCUCUAUUAUUUAUUUCAUGAGUCAUAUAAAAUUAAUCAUUAUGAAGUUUAGUAGUUUAUAAACGGACAUUCGGGGCCCAAUGAAGAUAUUAGAAAUAAAUCGAUACCUAAACAGAAGCUUAUAAAAUUUUAUUUAAUGAACAGUACCACACACCCGUGUGGUUUAGAGACACACCCGUGUGCCUCUAUGACACGCUCGUAUUGUCACCUUGUAUGACUCACACAGCUAGGACACACCCGUGCUCUUUACUCGUGUACUUCUCUAACUUAUUUCCUAUGAAUAAACUAGUUUCACAAAGCCAAGACACACGCCCAUGUGCUUAGCCUGUAUGGAAUUAUUUUCAAUUCGAAUCUAGUGCAGUUUUCACACGGCCAGGCACAUGCCCGUGUAUUGUGGCAGUAUGCUUCACAUGGCUGAGACACACGCCCGUGUCUUUGUCCGUGUGGCCAUACCUGAGCAUUCUGUUUACAUUAUUUUAGAUACAUGAGACACACGGCCUGCUCGCACGCCCGUAUAAGGGCCGUGUGUCUCACAUGGUCUGAUCCCAUGCCCUUGUGCCAGGCCGUGUAGACUCAAAAUGAACCUUAUAGUUUAAGUUUACCAACCUUGCAAACUAUAAUAACAAGCAAUUUAAAAUUCAAUCAUUCAACCAAUCCAAAAUAUGAUUAAAUACAUCCAUUUCAUAUUAAAAUCAUCAUUAUUAUAAUCUACCUCGAGUGUAUUAGUAAAUAUUUAACAUAGAACCACCAGACAGUGUACUUUAGUAUCAUUCUCAUAGAACCACCAGACAAUGUACUUUGCUAUCAUUCAAAAUCAAUUUAAAUUAAAUUAUAUAGAUGGCUAUAUUAUAAAUAUAAACUUUGCAUUCAUGGGUUAACCAUUAUCAUUCUUACACUAUUAACAUUGACAUUCAAAAUGACUUCUAAAAGACAACCUAGAUACAUGCCAUUUCUCAAAAUAAGAUGCAUCACCAAGUAUUUGAGUUCGGGCUUGGCUUGGAUGUUGAGUUGUUAGUUGCUUUCGUACCUAACCUGUGCACGGAAAUAAACCGUACGCCGAGUAUACACUCAGUGGUAUUUCUUUCAACCAAUACUUAAAUCGUUUUUAACACAAAGUGCAUUUAAGCUAUUAACUUCAAAUCUAAUAGUACAACUUAUUUUCGAAGUUCUUUCUCAAUAAAACAUUCAGUUUAAUAAUAUAUCAAUCAGUAAUAGUAAAUUUUCAAUACAGUAGCAUAGUCAUUCAAUUUUCUAGUACAAUAAAUUUACCCUUAUUAACAUAAUUCAGACAUUGUGCCUAAUCGAUUUUGCCGAAGUAAACGGUAGCAGUACGGUACAUAGUACCUCAUCGGAUUAAAUCAAAGUAAUAGAAACAGUACGACACACGAAGUGCCUCAUUGACACAAAGUCGAAGUAACAGUGCGACACUUUUAGUGCUUCAUCGACCCAUGGUCGAAGUAUCCCUGUACACUUCCAAUCCUAUGGCAUGCCAAUUAUAUCCAACCUAGCCCAACACUGUUAAUAGGGUAUUCAUUUCACUUAAAUUUUUAGAUAACAAUCAAUAUACAUUGCAAUUCAAGUAUUCACAACUCAAUUCAAUUCAAUACAAUAAUAGCAUUACUUACCUCUAUAUUACUUACCAUAAAUAUAUAUAUUUAAUAAAUGCAAUAAUAAAUUUUAAGUUCAAUUUAUAAAUAUACAAACCGUAAUUCUUGGUUUACUCUUCGUCAACCUUCUCUUUUCCUUUCUUUAUUGAUGUCUCUGAUAAUACGUUAGCUACAGAAAUUAAACAAUUUAUACUAUUAAUAUAAUAACAAUUUCACAAUAAAUAAUAAAAUUUCUAUUCAAUUCAAACCUCAAUUUUCAAUUUAAUUCUAAUUAACACUUUUAUUUUUUUUUCACUCAAUUCUAAUUCAAACCUCAAGUUGCGUUUAGUUUUGUUUUAUGAUUGUUGGGUUGUUAAGAGGCUGUUUUCUGUUUAGGAGACAAUCAAUGUGGAUUGCUAAAACGGCGCUCUAAUCAGUGAGGAACUGCCAUUUUUCGUUAGAGGUAAGGUCGUCGUUAACUUUCGAGAUUUGCCUAUUCUUUGUAACUCGGUUUAGGUGACUAACUAAGUGGCGUGCUGUUUGAUAUUAGGUCCUGCAGUGCUCAUGGUUGCGUUAGCUUCGAAAUGAUACUAGGUGUGUACUCCGAUUGCACAGAAAAUGAUAUUCGGUGAAAGCCAAAAAGCAUUCUGUCGACGCCACAUGGGCAUGUGGUAGCUCGUGUGGUAGGCCGUCUGGCGGUACACGAGCGUGUAGUCAAUGAACCAUGCCAUGUGCACGUGACACGGGCGCGACGGACAUGGCCGUGUGAUGGAUGGCGAGGCCAUGUGCGAGACAGGGCUCAGCCAAUUGGGUUGUGUGGGCCACACGGGUAGACCACAUGGGCGUGUGAGCCCAUUUUUCUGAAAUGUUCUGUAAGGUUGCAUGGGUCGCCCAAGUCGACUGUGACCAGUCAUAGGGUCGGUAAGCUUUACUUAGAGCUCUAUUCUGUUAUAUGAUAUUGUGAUGUAUGUGUUAGCAUGUAUACCUAGCAUGAAUAUCUGAACUGUUCUGAAAUAAAUGUAUGAAUUGUUUAUCUGCAUUAUAACAUGCCAUAUUGUAUGAUGCAUUGCAUUGGGGUGGGUUUGAUGAAGUGAAGAAAGUAUCUGAAGGCUUCAUAAGCCUGUUACCUGGUAGUUAAGUUGCAUAUUUAUGACAUGUUCUGCAUUACAAUACUUUAUGGUGUGUAGGGUUAGAUGGGUCGAUUUUAUCCCCAUAUUUGGUGUGCAGGGAUAGGUGGGUCAAUUUUAUCCCCAUAUGGUGUGUUGGGUUGGAUGAAGUUGAUGUAUAGGGUUGGUGGGCAUGUUUUGUUAUUCUGAUCUACUAUGCAUGCUAUAUCUGAGAUGGGCUAAGGCCCUAAGUUUGUAUCUGAUUCUGUUUCUGAGUGGGCCAAGGCCCACACUGAUUCUGUAAAAGGGUUUAGACCCGAGUUAUGACUGUAUUCUAUUAUCUGUCUGUAUGCAUGCUGAACUGUGGGGAUGUACACACUGAGUUUACAAAAAAUCACCCUUAUUUGUUUUAUCUGUUCAGGUAAUCCCUAACAAUAGGCGGAUCGGUGCAGUGGAGGACUUGACAGUGACCACGCUCACAUACAUUUGAUUUAUAAACUUAUUGCUUUUGUCUUAUUCAUUAUUUUGGGAAUAUUUUGAUGUAAUUUUGGACUUGGACUUUUGGCUUUUAAUUUGAGUUUUUGAACCACGAACAUGGAUUAUAAGCUACAACGCCUAAGUACGGUUUUCCUAAAAUAAACUAAGAGUUUUCGAAAUAAAUAAUAAAUUAGUUUUAAAAGCUUCCACGAUAAAGAAAUGUUUUCAAACAAUUUGACUAUUACACGAUCUUCGACUACGGAAAAGAUAACAAUUUGAAUGGUUUUCCUAAUUCGAAACAGUUUCUAAGAAAACUCUCUCAUGUGACAUCGUCAGAUUCGGCCAUAAUGUCUAGGUCGGGUUUGGGGUGUUACAAUGUAUAUCAUUUAACUUGAAUAAGCCAAAUUUAGUUAACUUCAUACACAUAUUCAAUCACUUAUCUUAUAAAAUCCAACAUCACCAAAUUAAAUAAGUUCAUUAGGCUUAUUCAUUGAUGAACAUAUAAACUAUGCUUUCAAUUUCAAAUAAUGAUCAUUAGAUCAUUCAUAUAAAUUAAGAUUGCACAAUUUCAAUACAUAACCAACUGAAUCAUGGUUAUUUAUUACAUUUCAUACAUAGAAAAAUAUCAAUUUCUUUUUAUGCAUUUCAAAACCCGAAUAACCAUAACAAACCACACAUCCAAACCAUGUUCCUUUUAUUUAUAAUUCUCAUGUCCGAAGCAUAGGACCACAAUUUUAUAUAACGAGCAUCUAUAACGCAUUGUUCAUUGUCAUAUAUUUCACAUAUCGUCAUUUGAAUCAUACUCACAUUUCAUAUCAGAAUUUCAUAUAAAAAUCACAUGUACCUGAAUUAUAUAUGGCAAAACACAAUUGUAAUUCUACAUUUCUCAUAUAAUUCAUUUGAUCAUAGUUCACUUGCUAGUAUCUACAUCUUAUUUUCACAUAGAUCAUAUAUUAACUGAUCAUAAUCAAACUCACUUUCACUGCUUAAUUUCAUAUACAUCGCAACAUACCUAAUUCGGAUGCACAUUUAUAUACUUAUUUAUUUCUCGGAAUGCCCGUUGAACCGUUCAGAAUCAAUAAGGAUACUCAGAUAGCUCGAAAAGCUCGUACAAUGCCAACGUAUCAGACGUGGUCUUACAUAUAAUCAACUAUCAAUGCCACUAUCCCAAACAUGGUCUUACAUGUAAAUCAUAAGUCGAUGCCAACGUCCCAGACAUGGUCUUACACGAAAACACAUAUCGGAUCCUAUGUCAUGACAUAUGUAUCCUAACUAUUCCUAUGGUUCGUAUGGGGCUUUUCGGACAUCAGAACUUUGGUGAUACUCUCUCAGAUAUCUCAUAUUCAAGGCAUUAAGCUAUUCAUCAUUAUUCAAUAGCAUAUAAGCACAAAUAAAUCAUUUCAAACACAUUUAUUUACUAACACGAAUGGUCCAGAAUGACUAUUCGAUAAUUUUCGACUUUCCCCGAUCCAAAUCCGAUUUUUCAUUUCUUGAUCUUUAAUUUCUUGAUCUUUAAUCGAACUUGGAAGUAGCUGAACCCUAAAACACCAUGAAAGCUUUCUUUUCUUUCUUAAUAUUCUGCCAACAAUAGAAUAAUAAAGCAAAUUUUUUAUUUUGUUAUAUUUAAUACAAAUAAUUAUACUAAUUACUUUAUAUCCUUAAUGAAUUUCAUUUAUAAACAUAAAAUAAAUGGCUAUAAUGGUCCACUUACUCUUCCAAUGGUCUAUUAACAUUAUAAGGACCUCACAAUUAAGAAGGCAUAGCAAAUAAGCACUUUAACAAAUAGAAGGCCACUUUUACAUUUUACGCGAUUAAGUCAUUUUCUCAAAUUAAACACACAAAUGAUCGAAUAUUCAUACAAAACUUUCACACAUGCUAAUUCACAUAUAAUAAGCACGGAAAAUAAUAUUAAAAUAUUUUUUAACUCGGAUUUGUGGUUCCGAAACCACUGUUCCGACUAGGGUCUAAACCAGACUGUUACAAUUAAUUAAAUGAUAUUUAAUUAUUUCUUAACUUUUUUUAUAAAUUUUAUAAUAUUUCAUUAAUAAUAUGAUUACAAAAUUAAAACAUAAUAAAAUAUAAGUUUAAUUUUAAAAACACAAUGAUUAAUAUUAGAUUGAAUUUAAAAAAGCAAUAUUUUGGAAUUAUUUUUAAAAUGUAAAGAUUAUAAUAGUAGAUUGUAUGAAAUUCUAUUUUUAUGCAUAAUUUCUAACUUAAUUUAAAUUAUUAAUCAGUGAAUAUAGAUUAUUAAUUAAAAAUAAAUCUUAUGACUAUUAAAUCAUUUAAAUGUGUAUUCUAACUUAAUUUUUUAUUUUUAAGUAUUUAUUUCAAUUUUAACUGCGUAUUUAAUUUGUAAAAAUAGUUAUAAACUUAAAUUUUUUUUUUCAAAAUUUAUUUUAAAAUUUAUAAUAGCUUAUUAUGUAAAAUUGUAAGUUAAAUUAUUGAAUAUAAACAAGUUGGAAAGACUUAUUAUAAAAAUAUAACUUGUAAAACACCAUUAGAAUUAUAAAAAACAGGUGGAAGGGGUUUAGGUUACAACUUUCCCCUGUACAAUUGCUCACUUUCCUUGCCACAUAUCAAAAUUUUAUAGUAUGGGCAAAUAAAAACUUAAGAAUAUUGUAAUAUAAUAUUAUAUGAUUUUGUAAAUAUCAUAUACCUGUAUCAUAUAUAUAUAUAUAUUAAAGUGAAAGCCUCUAAUAAAAACGAAAAAAAUCUCAUGUUGUUGGCCAAAUUAUUGAAAUGUGGGCAACCUUAAAUUUUGUCACAUCUUCUAGAAAUAUUUUUAAGUUACAUUAACUUAUUUGAUUCAAUUAAUUAUAAUUUUUCUUUUCCAAAUAUAAGUGUAUUUGUUUUCCAUAAUUUUAUUCAUAUUUGAAAAAAUAUUUGUUGAAUUAUAUUAGCAACAUCCUUAGAAUUGGUUGGCAUGAUAAUUUAACAAUUAACUAGUAGUUAGGAGUGAAUUGUUGUUAAACUAUUGCAUUGCUUUGUAAGUAAGUGACACAUAUCUAAUGUUAAUUCAUAAAAUGAAGUCCAAGAUCAUUUGGGGGCUUUAUAAACCUUUUAAAAUAAUUUAUAAAAGGUUUAGGAGUGAUGGGACAUGUUCGAGACCCAAAACAAGCUACCAAAAUUCAAAACAAGUCAAAACAGUACAGUGGAAAACAAUAUGGUGCAUGAUGUUGUGACAUUGUAUAAUGUUGCAACAUUGUCUUACUCAACAUUGUGAGAUUUUCUUACCUAAUGUUGCGUUGUCACUCCUUGUAUGAUCAAUGUUGCGGCAUCUUCGCGAUGUAGCAACAUUGUAGCAGAGCAGCACAAAAACAUUUCAAAGCAUCCCCAAACAUUAUCAAAUCAUUCCAUUGGGUCCGAAAUCACUUAAAAACAUGAUAAAAGCACAUUUAAAUUCAAAUUCAAAUUCAUCUCAUAAACAUGUUAAAUCAUAUUGUUGACACAUUUGAAGGCAAAGUUAAUUUUGUGGUUGUUUCUAUGGUUGAAAUAAUGACCACAACUUCAUAUAUUGUUUCAUUGCCUUGUUUACCUAUUCAAAAGGUUUUAGUUUGUUAAAAACUUACCUCAUAUAAUAGAAGUAAGAGAUUACUUGAUGCGGUCGUUAAGAGCACCAAAAAUAUCCUAUCUCAAUAAAAUAAUGAAAAAGAAUAGUAUAAGAGAAGUAGGGUCAAAUCCUCAAGGACCAGAUUUGCACAAUUGCUUGUUCCUCGAAAUCUUUGACAUAAUCGUAUCCAAGAAAACCAGCGUACCUAGAAACAAAAUAGAAUUAAAAGUUUUGAUUUAAUUGGAAGUGCAAAAAUUGAAAUUAAAAUAGUAGAGAUAAAUAGAGUUGAGAAAAAGUUUCUUAUAGAGAAAUUCUAGCCUCCAGUUGUCUCGAUCCACCUUGGGUUCAAUCAUCAGCUUUUAGGUGACCCUUCUCAAGCAGAAUAAGCCAAUUAUACUGGAAGAGGACGCCUACGACCGCCAGCUCCAAGAAUUUAGACUUACGAUUUAGCAGAACCUGACUCUAAUCAACAAUUGCUUUUGUGGGAUCAUCUUAUGCGAGAUCAUCACUUCUCAAUGGUGAAUCCUACACCAUUUUGUCCCUUGGGCUCGCCAACCUCUGACGCAGUAAGCUAACGAACCGACUGUGCAACCUUCACAAAACAUACAAAUCGGCUGUCUUUGCGCACGUUAAAAAGAUCACCUUUUAAGGGACAUGGACCGAAGCAUCAGCCCUGUAAUGCGGAGAAACGAUGAAUACUCGUCGAGAAGGCUAAGCGUAGAUUCUAAGCCUCAUGAACCCUUUUUGGGGAACUUUGACAACCUUCGGCUAGAUAAAUUUAGUGGCUCAUGAUUUUUGUGGAAAAAGAAAUAAAUAUAAUGGGAAUGAAAUUUUAAUUGAAAAAAUAUGAAAAGAAUAAAAGGCUAAACUUUUUGGGUGGUAGAGUGUUUACAGAAAAGAUGAGUGAAAUUUGUGCCACUGUAUCCCCUAUUUAUAGUACUAGGAAACCUAGUCUAUUUCUAAUUAAAUUCUAAAAGAUAAAUACAAAUAAAUAAAGAUAAUUAAAGAUAAAUAAGGAUAAAUAAAGAUAAAAGCUAAAAUUAAAUCUAAAUAAUAAUCCUUAAUAAUAAUCCUAAUAUAAUUGGAAUUUAAAAUAGAGUCUUGUGCUAUAAAAUCUAUUCUUUGCACUUUUGCCCCAAAUCUUACACAAUUUGUAUUUUAGGCACCACCUCUUGCAUGCUGGCCCAUUUUAUCUUUAAAUUUACGCUUUUAGCCCUCGAAUUUCCUUUUGCCUUCAAUUUAGUCCCUAUAAGAUAAAAAAAUCAUAAAUAGCUCAAAUUAGUAGGAUCAAAGUCAAAAUAAACAUAUAAUUAACACAGAAAAAUAUGUCAUUCUAGAGUAUUAUCAAAUUCCCCAUACUUAGCCCAUACUUGCCCUCAAGUAUGGUUCCUAUCCACUGUGAAAUUUAGAAUUUUGCCAUGAUUGAAAUAUCACUCCAAAUUUUUAUAAAAAGUAGGCAUAAUGCAUAUGAAAAAUAAAGAGAACCUUUAGCUUGCUUUAAGUAAAACUGAAAAUGUAUUUUAAUUAAUACACACAAAAAUUAUAAUCGACUUGGAUUAUUUCAUGAAAAUUAGGUAAUUUACUAAACUUACCAAGACACCUUAUUUGUUUCCACCUUUAGCCCCCAAAUGCAAUUUUAUUAUUAAUACAUCAUUUUUUCUUUUUUUUCUUCUUCUUAUUAUUGUUGUUGUUGUUGCUUAAGAAUACAUUAACAUUUUGACGCGAAGAGAGAUGACAGCCAAACACUCGAGGCCGGUUACUCAGCCCAACAUACUUCUAAUUUAUUAUAUUUUCUUUAAGAACAUAUCGAACCUUUUGACGCGAAGAGAGAUGAUAGCCAAGCACCUCACCCCGGUUACUCAGCCCAACAUAUUCCUAAAAAAAAUUAUUUAAUCCUGGUUAGCGGAGUUACCUAACACGUCACACAACAUUUUAACGUGAAAUAGGAUGACAACCCAAGCACCCUAUCCCGGUUACUCAGUCAAUCACGUUUUAAGCUGAACUCAUAACCACGGAAGCAUCAUAAUUUAUUAUAAUAACACAAAAUUUUAAUUCGGAGGACUAGGGAAAACAAUCAAGUGUCAAAAAUAAAUUUCGGCAACUACCUAACAGCCAUGAACAAAAAUUUAGCAUGCAAUUUUCAUUAAGUGUUCUCUUUACAUUUAGACUUAAUCGAUUUUCCUAUAAACAAGAUAGGGUUAACUCUAUCAAUCAUAAUUAUUCAACUGAAAAGAAAUAAAACAGUAGAGAUGAAAUCAAACAAGAAAAAUCAUAACUAACUUAGUAGACAAGAAUCAUGCAUGUAUGUCAAACAGUGGGCAAUUCGUGGUUAAAUUCUUGGGCAUGAAAAGAGGAAGAAUAUUCUUAAAAAAAUAAAUGCGAGUAGAAACGAGCACAAGGCAGCAGCAACAGUAACACAACAGUAAAAGCAACAAAUAAAACGGUAGAAAUAAUGAGGAAUGUCUCCCCUUACUUAAAACACAUUGUCCUCGAUGUGAAAGAAAAAGGAAAAAGAAAAAUAUGUGAAAGUAAAAAGGUUUAGAAAAACUCCCCAUGUAGUCAUUGUCAUUCACACAUAGCUGCAAUAAGGGGAAGGUUUGGCGUCGCGUGGAGGAGAGGAGGGUGAUGAGGUGGGCAAGUCACACGGUGGAGAUGGAGAUGGAGAUGACGUGCACGAGUCCUUACUAUGGCGUUUGAAAAAUCGGUGGUGGGGGUGAGGAAGAAGCUGCGGCGGCUGGUGGGGGUUUGGGUGAAAAUAGGAUAAAUUUUUAGGGUUUGAGAGUGUAUGGGUAAAGUGUUUGGCUGAAGGGUGGGGUGUUUGGGUGCAGGUUUUGGUUUCUAUAAAGCAGGGAUGCGCUAUUCCUACAUGGAAUAGGGAUAGAAUAAAGGAUGUUUGUGAAAGUAUGCCAAUUCCUAAGUUUUUUUCCUCGUCGGUUUACCUAGACAGAAGAAGAGAAAUUUAUUAAUAUCCAAACAAAAUAAAGUAAUAAAUAAUAAAAUAAAAUAAAUAAUAAAUAAAUAAUAAAUUAAAAAUAAAGAAAAAUAAAAAUUGGGUUGCCUCCCAACAAGCGCUUGUUUAAUGUUGCUAGCUUGACACCUCAACUAAUAUUGGGGCUGUUCCAACUGAAUUCUUUCGUUCGUAUGGGCUUGGAAAUUCUUUUUUUUUACCACAUCCACCAUAUUUGGGUUCAAUCAUCCUUGUGUCUCUUUCUUUGGUUUUGUAUUUUCCUCCAAGAAAAUCUCAUUUGUGUCUGUCAAGGGGUUAAUCCCUUUUAAGUCGGUAAUGGUCUCAUCAUUCUCCAAAAAUGCAUGCUUGAUAUGCUCAGGAAGUGGUUUUAAUUCUAGAUUUGGUACCUACACAACAAAAGGUAGAAGUUUAGUAUCCAUAGGAGCCAAUAAUUCAUUAACAGAUUCAAAAUCAUCAAACAUCAUUUUAGAUUUAUCUCUAUAAGAUGACUCAAAAGUUUCUUUUACUAAUGAGUCAACUAUGUCAACACGGUUUACGUCCAAGAUUUCACUUGGGUGACUAAUAGCGUCGUAAAUGUUAAACUUCACGAUCUUCUCAUCAAAUUCCAUCGUGAAAGUUCCACUAUGCACGUCAAUCUUAGUGCUAGCGGUACUAAGGAAAGGUCAGCCCAGCAAGAUGUUUGAAGAUUUAAUAGUGUUAUCCUCUUCCAUUUUUAUCACAUAAAAAUCUGCAAGGAAAAUAAGACUGUUGACUUUGACUAAUACAUCCUUAAAGACUCCUUCAGGAUGUGCAAUUGACUUGUCUACCAAUUGAAUGAUAACACCUGUUUUCGUCAAAAAACUCGCGUUAAGUGAUUCAUAAAUAGAAAAAGGCAUUACAUUUAUAGAGGCCCCUAAAUCACACAUAACUUUUUUAAUUACUAGUGGCCUAUUUUGCAUGGUAUUGCGAACAUGCCUUUAUCUUUGCAUUUCACUGGCAUCUUCCGCUGUAACACUGCGGAUACAUUCUCACCAACGCUUACCCUUUCAUUACUAGUUAAUUUUCACUUGUUGGUACAGAGUUCUUUAAGGAAUUUGGCAUAACGCAGAAUUUGUCUGAUGGCAUCCAACAAUGGCAUGUUGAUCUUGAUAUUUCUAAAUGUUUCGAGGAUCACCUUGUCCUCUUUACCUUUUUGACAUUGGUUCCAUCGUCCUAGAAAUGGAGGUUGAAUUUUAGGCAAUGGAGGUUUCGCUCGGACCUGUUCAUUGUUUUCGGGCUUUUCUUGGGCAGAAUCUUGGCCAAGGUUUCUGCCAGGAAUUGGUUCCAGUACUUUUCAACUUCACAAUGUCACUGCAUUUGUGUAUUGUCUUGGAUUAGGUUCUGUUUGUGAUAGCAGCAUCCCUUGUGAGUUUAUUUUCUCAAUUAAUGUGGUCAACUCUCUUAUAAACGCCUCGAUUUUUUGUUGAAAAUCAAGCAUAUUAACUACUAAUUUAUUUACUAAAGUUUCUAAAGAAUUACCUGAAUUUCUUGGCUAUUGUGGAACCCGAUUUUGGUAUGGCUGGUUAUAUUGUGGAUUGGCCCCAUAACUCUAAUUGGGGUGGUUCCUCCAUCCUAGGUUGUAGGCAUUAGCGUAGGGGUCAUAUCGCCUCUGUGGUGGCCCAGGAAAAUUUCCCACAGCAUCCAAAUGAGCAAUAGUAUCAUCAUACAAACUAGGACAUACAUCAGUUGUAUGUUCAGGUGUAGCACAUAUUCCGCAUAAUUGGGCUAGUUUUGUUUUUUCUGCAACAAGAGAGUUCACAAUAUUAGUAAGUCUAUCAACUUUAUCUUCUAAGGUUGAAUUACUUAGCUGGUGAACCCUUCUAAGGGGUUCAGAAUUGGCUCGGAAUUGCUGAGUAUUUGCAGCCAUCGCAGAUAUCAACUCCCUUGCUUGUUAGGGAGUCAUGUUGACCAAUGCUCCUCCACUGGCAGCGUCCACCAUGUUCAUUUCUAUGGGUUUCAAACCGUCAUAAAAAUAUUGGAGAAGAGAUUGUUCUGUUAUACCAUGUUGCAGGCAGCUCGCACACAACUUUUUAAAUCGCUCUCUAUAGUUGUAAAGAGACUCUGGUUCUUUUUGCCUUAUUCCAACGAUCUCUCUUCUUAACUCAGCUACAUGUAAUACUAGAAAAAACCUGUUGAGAAACAAACGAGAAAGAUCAGCCCAAGUUGUAACAGAUCCAGGAGGUAAAUAAAAUAGUCAUUCCCUAGUUGAAUCUGCUAGGGAAAAAGGGAAAGCAGGCAAUUUGAUUUGAUCCUCAGUUACCCCCUGAAGUUUCAUACUAAGACAAACCGUAUGAAACUCUUUCAAAUGUUUGUGGGGAUUUUCAUUUUACAACCCACGAAAAGUUGGCAGUAGCUGGAUUAAACCUGACUUCAGUUCAAAAUCGAUAUCCAUAGUAGGAUACGUGAUGCACAAUGGCGAUUGUUCUGCUGGAGCUUCGACCAAUUGCCGAAUUGUUUGAGCCAUUGGUUGAUGUGCUAGAUUCGGGUUUUCGUUAACCCUAGCAUUAAGCAUUUCUUCUGGUGAAUCAACUUUUACUUUUUCUCUUUCAAGUGUUUGAGUAGGGUCUUCGUUAACCCUAGACUCAACUUUAUCGUCGACUUAGAUUUUUGGUUGUGGGUUGCUCUGAGUACCAACCACUAUUGACUAUUUUUUCCGUAACUUUGUUUCCUUGCGAUUAUCUCUAGCAGUCUUCUCUAUUUUUGAACCAAACGCAAGAGUACCUGGAGUAGAUCUGGUCAUAAGAAAUAAAGAAACAAGAUUAGUACGUUACCAAUCCCCGGCAACGGCGCCAAAAUUUGAUGUGAUUGUUGAGAGCACCAAAAAUAUCCUAUCCCUAUAAAAUAAUGAACAAGAAUAGUAUAAGGGAAGUAGAGUGUAAUACCCUGAAAAUUUUUACAGUAAAAUAUUAUCCAUGAUAUAGUAAAAUAAGGAAAUAAAGUGACAAAAAGGGAAUUUUUGAGUGAUGUCAAUAUUGAGAAGUAUAUUAUGAUAUAUUAAUUCAAGAAAGGACUAAAUUGCAAAGAUGAGAAAAGUCUUGUUGCACAAGAGUAAAUACUCAAAAUUUAAGGGGUUGAAGUGUAAAUAUAAAAAAGUUGAAAGACUAAUGGUGCAAAUAUUUUAAGGGUGGAAUGAUCUAGAAACCAAGAAAAAUUGAUGAAUUAGGACCAAAUUGAAUAGGUAAAAAAAUUAUGAGGGACUAAAUCGUAAUUUUACCAAAUUAAGUGAUGACUCAAGGAUAGAAUUCUAAAAGAUCAUGAAGGGCAAAAUGGUCAAUUAGUAAGAGAGAGAAUUCUAGAAUGUAAUGAUUAUGUUGAUGAUAUUUUAAAUUAAUUAAUUAGAUAAAUAUUAUUUUAUUAAUAUUUUAUGAGAUGUUUAUUAUUAUUUUAUUAUUAUUUAUUUAGUAUAAAAGGAAGGAAAGAUGAAGAAUUAUCAACACAUUUCCUUUCCCAUGCAAACUAACGUAGGAUAAGAAGAAGAAAAGAAGUUUGCUUUCUUUAUAAUUUAGUCCUUCCACCAAAAAUUUAUUAUUUUCACCUAAAAAUUGAAAGAAUUUCCAUAGCCAUCAAGAGAGAAAGAUAGCAAGGAGAUGAUGGGGAGCAAGAAUAUCAAGUUGGAUUCAAGAAAUCGAAGCUAGAGGAGAGAGAAAAAUCAAGUUAAAGAUUGAAGUCAAUAAGAAAAGGUAAGUACAUCAAGAUUUCAAUAUGUUUUUAAGUUUGUUAUUAUUGAUAAAGCAUGGAAAUAAUGUUAUAGUAGAGUUUUCUUACAUAAGGUCCUAUAUUCUUGAUAUGUUAGUGAAGAAAAAAAAUAAGAGAAAGUGAUGAGAAAUGGUGUAGAAAAAGAAAAUAAGGGUGUUAUAACAUGGUAAUUAAUAUCUUGUACUAAAACAGUUUUGGACAGCAGCAGUAGUCUAACUUUGAAAAAUCAUAAAAAAAUUUUAGAAAUAUAAUUAUAGGAUGAAUAAAAUAUGAAAUUAAAUCUUAUUAAGUCUAGUUUCUUAUCGAAGAAAUUAUGUAAGCAAUGGAAUUCUAAAUCAUGAGAUAUGAUGAAUUUUGUGAGACAAGGUCAGAAUGAUUUCGGGUUCCCCUGUUCUGAAUUUGUAAAAUCAUAAAAAAAUUGGAUAAAAAUAAUUAGGGGCUUAAAUUUAUAUGUUUAGAAUCCUGAAUGAGUCUACUUUCAAUAGAAACAAAUAUUAACAUAAUUCAAAUUCUGUACAAGGAGAUAAUUAAUUUUUAGUGAAGAACGGUCACAACUGUCAGACAGCAGAAUAGGGGUAACUUUAAAGAAUAAACUGUACUUAUUGACUCAACCAAAAAUUCUGAAAAUUUUAUGGUUAGAAUAUAUAUGAGUCUAGUUUCAGGGAAAAUUAGCGUAUCUUAAUUUGGAGUCAUAUAGCUCCAGAUAUAAAUAAUUUAGUGACUAUGACACAGAUGGACAGCUUGAAUAUUCAUAAAAGUAAAUAAUAAAGAUUAUAGAUAAUGUUACUUACAAGUGUGCUACAUACAUCAAGGAUGUGGAAUGGAGAGGAGGAGGAGGAAAACAUAUAUGAAUAUUCAUUAAGCAUGGCUAAUUUGCAUAUUUUAGGUUUAGGGACUAAAUUGAAUAAAAGUAAAACUUUAUGGGUAAUUUUGUAAAAAUGUCAAAAAUGACCAAAUUGCAUGAAAUGGAUUAUUUUAUUAUUUAAAUUACAAAACUGAAUGAAAUUAUUAAUUUAGUUCAAGAUCGGGGGAAAACAUGUUUUAGGGAUUAAAUUGAAAAUUGUUGAAAUUAUGGAAAAUUCUGAUAUUUUAUAGAAUUCAUGGAUUGUUAUCAAUAUAUAUGAGAAUAAUAGCUGGAAAUAAGGAUUAAAUUGCAAGAAUUUUAUUUUCCUGACCCUAAGGACGAAAUAGUCAUUAAUUAAAAGUUUAGGGGCAAAAUGAUAAUUUUACCUAGAGCAUUAAUUAAAUGCAUUAGAAGAUGAAAUGAAUGAAAAUGAUGAUCAAACUUAUUUAUAAAGAUCCGAAUGACUCAAAUAUGAGGCUUGAUCGUGGAAAAGAAAAGAUAUUGGAUUAAUGAAAUUAUAAACACAAACAAGCAAUGAGGUAAGUUUGUGUAACUUGAAUUGUAUUUUAAAUACUUGAAAUAUGUGGUUAUGUGAUGAAAAUAUGAUUUGAAUGUUCAAUUCAUGAUAUUUGAUGAAAUAUUGAUAAUAAUCAAUAUAAAUUGAAAAUAAAUCCCAGUUGAAUGAAAGGAAAAUUCGAUGGAUCUCUGAAAAGGAAUUGACUGUAAAAAGGAUCUAGCCCGGACGGGUGAUCCUAUUCUGAUAUAGCCCUCCCGAAGAAUACAUGUAAAAUGGAUUUAGCCCGGACGGGUAAUCCGAAUUAGGGUCUGAAUUUAGCCUGGACUGGUAAUCCCGACAAUACUCUAUGAGUUUAUAUUACAGGGGAUUUAGCCUGGACUGGUAAUCCCACUGUAAGGAUGAGGUUCGCGGGAGUGUGCUCUCUGAUAUGAAAUGUGUAAGACCAUGGUUGAAAGAUACCAUGGCAACAUGACAGAAAAUGAAUAAAACCAUAGUUGAAAGACACUAUGGCAUCAUGUCAAAGAUAAAUAAGACCGUGGAUGGGAGACGCUCUAACAUCUGUUGAACAAUUGAUAUUCAGGUAAUAUGUAUCAGAUGACGAAUGGUUAUAUGAAAUAAUUAUGAAGAUAGAUAAACGAAAUAAGUAUAAGUACAUGGAAAAUAAUUUAUAUUAAGUUUGAUAUAAGCUAUUACCGGAAUAAAUAUACAUAAAAUAUAUGGAAAUGAUGGAGUAUGAAAUAUUGAUAUAAUGAAAUGAAUGAUAUAUGAUUAUGAAGAAACGGUAAGAGCAUGAUAUGUUUCAUGACAUGUACAUAUAUGAUUAUCUUUGAUAUGUUGAUACAAGGAAAUUAUAUAAGUUGAGACUAUUAUUAAACUCAAGUGCGAUAUGUCGAGAAAAUAGAUAUAUCAAUGUUGAAUUUAUAUGAGAUAUGUACAAGUAUACUAACAAUGUUGUUGUUUGAUGCUUAUACAAGUGUCAAACUGUUGAUUGAAUGGUAAUAUAUUUAUUUAUAUGAUGCAUUGAAUCGGUAAGUAUUUAAAAUUUUUUUUAGUGAUCUGUAAAUGGUAGUAAUGCUCUGAAACCCUGUUCUGGCAGCGGAUACGGGUUAGGGGUGUUACAUAGGGUCAAAUCCUCAGGGACCGGAUUUGCACAAUUGAUUGUUCCUCGAAAUCCUGGACAGAAUCGUGCCCAAGAAAACCAGCGUACCUGGAAAAAAAUAAACAAAUAGAAUUAAAAGCUUUGAUUUAAUUGGAAGUGCGAAAAUUAAAAUUAAAAUACUAGAGAUAAAUAGAGUUGAGAAAAAGUUUCUUAUAGAAAGAUUCCAACCUCUGGUUGUCUCGAUCCGCCUUAGGUUUAAUCCUCGGCUUUUAGGUGAUCCUUCUCAAACAGAAUAAGCCAGUUAUAGUGGAAGAGGACGCCUACGACCACCAGCUUCAAGAAUUUAGACUUACGAUUUAGCGGAAUCUGACUUAAGCCAACAAUCGCUUCUAUGGGAUUAUCUUAUGCCAGAUAAUCACUUCUCAAUGGCGAAUCUCACGCCAUUUUGUCUAUUGGGCUCGCCAACCUCUGACGCAGUAAGCUAAGGAACCAACUGUGAAACCUUCCCAAAACAUACAAAUUGGCCACCUUUGCACACGUUAAAAUGAUCACAUUUGAAGGGACAUGGACGGAAGCGUCAGCCCUGUAAUGCGAAGAAACAAUGAAUACUAGUUGAGAAGGCUAAGCUUAGAUUCUAAGCCAUAUGAACUCUUUUUGGGGAAAUUUGGAAACCUUCGGCUAGAUAAAUUUAGUAGCUCAUGAUUUUUUUGGAAAAAGAAAUAAAUAUAAUGGAAAUGAAAUUUUUAUAGAAAAAAAUAUGAAAAGAACAAAAGGUUAAACUUUUUUGGGGAGAGAGUGUUUACAGAAAAGAUGAGUGAAAGUUGUGUCACUCCAUCCCUUAUUUAUGUACUAGGAAACCUAGUCUAUUCCUAAUUAAAUUCUAAAAGAUAAAUACAAAUAAUUAAAAAUAAAUUAAAAAUAAAUAAGGAUAAAUAAAGAUCAGAACUAAAAUUAAAUCUAAAUAAUAAUACUUAAUAAUUAUCCUAAUAUAAUUGGAAUUUAAAUAAAGUCUUGUCUAUAAAAUCUCUUCUUUGCACUUUUUCCCCAAAUCUUUCACAAUUUGUAUUUUCGGCACCACCUCUUGCAUGCUGGCCCAUUUUAUCUUUAAAUUCACGCUUUUAGCUCCCAAAUUUCCUUUUACCUUCAAUUUAGUCCCUAUAAGAUAAAAAAAUCAUAAAUAACUCAAAUUAGUAGGAUCAUACUCAAAAUAAACAUAUAAUUAACACAUAAAAAUAUGACAUUCUAGAGUAUUAUCGUUACUUUUAAUAUUUGAAGGUAAUGAUACUUGGAAUGCACAAAACGCAGGAAAUUUUGUUAGGCAUGACCAAAACUAAAGAAUAUGGUAAAUAUAAUUUCAUAAAAUUGAAUGUUAGAAUACUUAUCCAGAAAAAGCGCCUGAUUUUUUUACCCAAAAUUUGAAGGCUGCAUAUGGAUUUGUUAUAAGAUUAUGGUCGGCUUGAAUGUUUAAAAUUAAGGUAAACUAUAUCAUUAGUCACUAAAUUAUGGGUAAGUUUUUGUUUUGAUCACUUAAUUAGAAAAAAGUUACAAUUUGGUCACUGAAUUAUUUAAAAGUUUUCAUUUAAUUCAUCGGGUUAUUAAUGUAACACCCUAGUCCCGAAUAUGGAGUACUUGAAUACUAAGGUGCUACAUCAGGUCACCGGAGUAACCCAGCAAAGUUUUCAAAUAAUUUUAAAACAUUGAAAUACAUUUUAUAUAAGAGAAAAUACCAUACAUAGUUAUACUGAAAAUAGAAAUAAAAGUAGUUAUACAAAAUAUGUGAAGCUCCAAUAUCAGCGUAUAUCAAAAUAGUCAAAAUAACAAAAAAUGAUAAAUGAGUUACAGACCUACAAAAAAAUACAAGUAAGGCCUUAGGAAUACAAUGCCCACUAAUAGAUAAGGUACUGUCCUCUGAAUACGUGAUGCUAAGAGUCUCUCGUCGAUGAUGUUCCUCGAACACAAAAAAAAGUCUACAAAUCUGAACAUUAAGAAAAUUCAAAGACUAAGCUUUACAAGCUCAGUGAUAAUAAAAAAAAUCUACCAUACUUCAAGCAAUCAUAAAUAUAAGCAUGCAAAUCAAAUAUAUACAUAGAAACAUGACAUGAGUAUUGAAUAAUUAAAACAUGAGCCAUUAAAUCUACAUAACCAAAUCGCUUGCAUAUCGAACUUGUCAAACUUUUUAGAUUGCACAUAUUACUCAAAUAAUCGAGUAUCCUGAUAGUCUCGCGCCACUCAUGGUUGCUAGUCAAAUAAUCCCUUGUGUCCGUAGGGUUACCCCGAGUACCACUCAUGCCUGCUAGUUAGGUUAGAGCCUGAAGGUUAAGCGCAAACAAAGCUUCAAACAUAUAAUCACAAAAAUACAACCAUGACAUUCGAGUCUCAUACUCGUUUCAACUUUCUUAUCAUUCCAGCUAAAAUAUUAACUAAAGAAGUGUAAUAGUCUGCUACCCUGACAUUUUGACGUUUCCUUAUUCAAAAAUUAAUAACUCAUAAUAUAUAACUCUAAAUCCAGCACCGUUUGUUUUAAACGAAACAAGACUUCUGUACAGUUCUAGAGAUAUAAGGCUUGCUUCCUAUUUUAUCUUAUGAAAUUUUUGGUGAUUUUUCAAAGUUACUUCUAAGUCUAUUUUAUAAGAAUUCUGCUGCCAGAUUUUUAUGACCUUUCAACACUAAAAAAUUCAUAUCUUUUAAAAUACAAAUAAAAAUUGAUCUCUGUUAGUUCUAACCGAAACUAGAAUGGCUCAUGGUUACAAUGAUGUAUAGAUCACUUCUUAAUUAUUUUUACAAAAUUUAUGGUGAAUUUUUGAACUUAUUGUUCAUGUAAUAAUCUGUUUCUAGCAUAUUUCACAACUAAGUUUUUAGCUUCAUUUUUAAAUAUCCAAACAAGAUUUCCACCCAAAGACAUAUAACAUGCAUGCAUUAUCACACAAGUAUCAUAUUUAUGACUUAUCAAGAAGUAUAGGAGAGUUAGAGGGUACCACCUUGAUGGAAGAACACCAACAAAGUUUCUUGCCUAGCUCUCCACCACUUUGCCUUUACCCUUAGCUUUAGAAGAUCCACCACCCUCCUUAGCUAAUAACCAUGUAACACACAAGAUUUCCCACAAAAAAAUAAAAUAAAAGUUGAUAGGAUGUAAAAAUACAUACUUUAAAUAAACAAAUAAAUAAAAUAUGAGAAGAUGGGUAGAGAUUUUCUCAAACUCAAACCCUUCCAAACACCUAAAAAAACCUCUACCUUCGUCUUUGACGAACAUAGAUAUUUUUUUUCUUCUAUGGAACUUUUUUUAAAAAAAGACCAAGACCCUUGUCUUCUUUAAUAUUUGGAGGAUGAAAAAAAAUGGUGAGAACUCACUGAAAUCUCUCUCCCUCUAAAAGACUUGCCAAGGAAAAAAAUAGAUGAAGAAAAAGAAGAAAAAGAAAAAUAAAAAUGAAGAAAUGUAAAAGGAAAAAAAAUAAGGUGAUUAUAAUAUAAGGGAAAAUAGGGGCAAAUCCUAUUUAUCCCAUACCUCAAUCUACCAAACCAUCUUUUCUCAUUAAUUGGGAGAAGAUUUUUACUCAAAAAUGGUAAAAUCACCAUAUUAGCCAUCCAUCUUUCCCUACUUCACACAACCUUCCCAACAUCCUUAAUUUCUUAUAGAAAAGGUCCAAAAUUCACCCAAAUUAAUUUCAACAAAAACCCAAUCCCAAAAUAAAUUUAUCCAUCGCCAACCCAGGUCAACACUCGAAUGUUGACUCGAGAAUUUGGGGUCGUUACAAUUAAAAUUGAUGUUAUAUGACUUUCUCUAUUCGCACGCCUGCACCAAUCAAAAGCUCUCUUUUCCCCAUCUUCUAAAUUUCAAUUCUUUUUUUAUGAAACAACUUUAAAUGUCAUGAAUCUAUUAAUCAAAAUUCAAACAAUUUUUUUUUGAUAUCCGACACUAUCUGUUAGAUCGACUUAAGUCUAAGAUAUGUUUUUUUAUUCGCCGAUUGGUAUUAAUCAACUGUAUGAUCAUCGAACCGUUAUUUAGAGCUCACUUCUAAAACUUAUUUUUAAAAAGAAAAAAAAACUCAACAAUCUAAUGAAUUAAUUAAAAUUUAAAAGGGUAAUAAAAAAGUGUAGAUGAGAAUAAACAAUAGAAUACAAUAAGUGUUUGAAGGUGCCAAGAGGGUGAAUGGUGUAUAUAUAUAUAUAGGAGUAGAAGUAGGGAAGAUAUCAAUUAAAUUACAAUUGGAUAAAAAUAUUCUUAUUGCAUUAAAUGAAAGUCAUUUAAUAGCAUAGAUUGUAGUAAAAGGUUGGUCAAAGAUUUUGAAUUGGUCAAAUUUUAUGGUAUAAAGUGUUGAAAUAUAUGGAAUAAAUCGAUUAAUACUAAUUCUAAUUCAGAUUAGUGAGGAUGAUAGGUAACCUUAAAAAUCGAGUGUGCUGUCAUUUAACUCCAUUAAUACGAAGUAAUCUGAACAUUGCAAUUGCAUCUUAAGUUGAGUUAAUUAGAAUGUUAUUUUUUUUCUUUUCACUUUUUUUUUUUCAAUUUAGUCGUCUAAUCUUAUAUCUCUAGAGUUGAUAAUGAUGUCUCUUUUGGAAUCGAAUCCAUAAGCUUCAAGAUUAAAUUGAUUAAUCCUUUGAAAUAAUUUUAAUUAAAAUAUACUAUAAGUUUAUGUAAUUUUUACAAAUUUAGAAUGUAAUUUUUAUACUUUUAUUUUAAGAAAUUCAGUCCUUCUAUUUUUGAAUUUAAAAUGUAAAUUUAAUUAUUAACACCGUUAAUUUUGUUAAAUUCAUGUUUAUAGUUCAAUAUUAAUAAUUGAAUUUGAAUUAAAAAAAUUAAAUUAUUAAAAAUUUACAGAAAAUACAAAGAAUUAUAAACCAAUAAUUUUAAUUAAGAUAAUACAAGUCUACUUCUCUAAAGUUCGAUGAUAAUAAACUUGUUUUACAAUUACUUGACUACAACUCAUGCAUUUACAAGAUGCGGUUAGGUUUGAUUGAAUUUUUUAUAUUAUUUGUUGAUUCGAUUCGGUUUCGUUAAGUUAUUAAUUUUUUUUAUUUUAAUUUUUGGUUUUGAAUUAUUUUAUUUUAUUUUAAUAAAAUAAUUUUUGUUUUCUAAAAUUUGAAUAUUAUUAGACAAAAUUUUAAAAUAUUUUUUUAUAAAUUAUUUUCUUUAUUUUAAAUAUAAAAUAUUACUUUUAUAUAAUAAUAAAAAAGUAAAAUUCAAAUCAAUUUCAAGUAUCUAAUAUUCUUCUAAAAUGAAAUUAAUUUUUUAUUUUUCUUUCUUAACCCUAUCAUAUAUGUCUUGUUUUGAUUUGAAAUUGUUUUCUUUGAAGGUAUAAACGACUAUGAUUACAGUCCAUAGCGACAUGUCUGUGAUUCCUAGAUGGUAAGUCGCUCAUUUGUCUUAGCAAUUGAUUAAAGGUUGAAUCGUUAACUGAUUUCGACAAGUCAUCGUCUAAUUUAGUUAUUUUUUUUUCUGGUACUAAUGUGUAUAGUGUGAAUGUGUGGUUUAGUAUAAUUUAUUAAUAUUUUUAAAUAAAUAUAUCUCAAAUAUAAAUAUAUAUAUUUUAAAAUUAUAAAUUAAAUUUAAUAACUUAAUUAAAUGAUUAUAUUUUAUUUUUAGAUAUAAUAAUAAAAAUAGUUAAGAUUAACAUAUACUAAACCUUGAUUUAAUAUAUUAAAAUUUUAUAUAAAUUAAUACUAGCCCGUACAAGAUAAUAUUGGUCGAAAUGUACUAAAAUUCUAACCGAAACAAAAUAUAAAUCAUUUUAUAUCAAUUUAAGAUAAAAACUAUGUAUUAGAUAAUACAAUCGAAUUAAAUUAAAUUUAUUUUUUUUAUUCAUAAAAUUAAAUUAUUAUUUUUGAUAGAUUAGUGAGAUUGGAAUUAUGAUUAUUAUGCAAAGGGUUAAAAGCUCAAUUGUCGGCGGCCUUAGACUUCUUUGUACUAAAUGUGUAUUUUGAUUGAGUUUCACUAACAUGUAGUUUUUGAUUGUGAGGGAAAAAAGGAUUACAAGGUUUCAAUAUGUAUAUCACUUGAGUACAGACAAGAGCUUAAACCAAACGAGUAGCAUCUAGUUUUAUUUACUAAAUACUAGUGUUAUGUAUGUAUGUAUGUAUGUAUGUAUGUAUGUACCCAUUCUUCCGUUAACUAGAAUUUACUUUACUCGACACCUGGCAAUGUCAACAGCAACUGCUAUAGAAUAUCAGUGAGAUCAUUGUUUAAUGAAAGCCUUAAGAUGGGACAUCAUUUCCUGUGUCCGAAUUUGAGAAAACUGGGAAUUAUGCAGAAUUUGAAAUGCAUGCCCCACACCUUCAUACAUCCUUGUUUCCACCCAUUUCCCAGCACUGGCCAAUGCAUUGCAGAAUUCAAGGUUCCUAUCUUUCAGUAUAUCCUUCUCUGAUAUGCACACCAUUGCAGCAGGAAGUUUCAGUUCCCUCAAUGUAGUAGCACCUUCAGCUAAAGGGUUGCACCAUGGAUGAUCACGGUCUGCACCUAACGGCAGCGAUAAUCGCCAAUAGGUAUCGAAAACUGAUAGACUGAGUGCUGAGUUAGCUGGUUGUGUGGCGUGCAUUUCAGAUAUGGUUCUUUCCUCUCCUCCGAAAAAUGGUUGAAUCAAGAUUAUACCCUUUAGAAUCAAAGGCUUGAUGCUGGAACCAGAUAUUCCAUAGGAUCUGAUGGCCACAUCGUAAGCUAUAUUAGCACCGGCACUAUCGCCUGCUAGGAACAAACUAGAGAACCGGCAUUGGUUUAACCACCAUUUGUGUUCAUUAGCCCCAUUCCGAGCUUCUUGUUUCACCCACAUAAGAGUGUUGAUCCCAUCAUCAUACGCGGCAGGAAGACGGUUUUCUGGAGCUAGACGAUAGUUGAGAGAUAAGACUAUGCAACCAGCUUUGGAAGCAAGUGCAGCCAGGAACUCAUGGUAACAUCUCCAACUUGCUGAGCCAACACAGAAUCCACCCCCAUGGAAGUAGACAAGUAAAGGCAUCUUGCUGGAGUAGCUUGGGACAUAGAUACGUGUCCACAAAUUGGUGAAUUUCUCAAUAGCAACAUCUUUAGAUACCACACCAUUUGUGACCAUGCAAGGGGCGGAAGGGAUGAUCGGUGGCCUCUCAACGUGCCCGUCUCCAUAAACUCUGAUGAGCCCUGCAAUCUCUUCAACUACAACGCCAUGAUUCUUCCUGCCUCCCUGAACAUUUAGUCUAGGAUUAAAGGAAAUGGCUGCCAUUCUUUUUGAUCUCAUUAAAUAUGAAAUUAGAAUUGUCUUUGGUAGUAAUGGUUGUGACUUGAAAGUACUUUGAGGCAUCCCUAUAUAGCGUUAGAAAAGUUGGGUACUGAACUCAUCAAUGAGGUAUACCGUCACACAGAUUCUCGAUCGUUUUUCUAGAACUUUUAUUUCUUAAAAUGCAAAAGAAAAAGCUACAGCUUUUAGUUCAUCGAAAGUGAAUUAAGAAUCAGUUCUAUCCAUAAACUUUGCAUCAAUGCUUGACCAAACAAAACCGACCAUAAUAACAAAACAUACAUCAUAGCAUUGUUUGAUUCUCCCCGUGUGAACUAAAGUAUACAUAUAAGCUCAUGAACUGCAAGCUUACACCAUGCAAAUGGGCAUCAAGCAGAUAGUUAUUAUGUUAAACUUAUGACAGUUUCAGUAUAUUGAUGUUGAAUUAAUGUCAUUCAAACCUUACGCUAAGUCAAUGGUAUAAAGUUUUAAUUGUCAUAAUUGUAUGGAAAGCUUGUGCAGUCGAUCCAAAAUGGUGUGCUCUUGUCCUGAUUAGGCUAAACUGUGAGCAAAUUAACACAAGAUAUUCCCACACGUUUAUCAAGAAAAAGAAAAAAGGCUGGAGAAGUGGGAGAGAAUUUUAAAGAUUUUGUUCUUGUACUUGCUAUAUAGAAUAUUAGGCGUCAUUUUUGUUCACAUAAGCAUUUCGGUGCUACCAUGCAUACUGUUGGCUUCAUUGAUGCAUUAGGAUUAAAGAGUGUUACAGACUUGCAGUAUAGCUGGAUAAGCCUAUUUUUACCUAUAACCCUUUUUAAACUUUAAAAUUAGAGGAAAAUAUGUACUCAAGUGUGCUCAAACCUGUCUUUUUAAUUGUUACAAUAACAACAGUAUCAACUGAGUUAUUUUAUAUGGAUGAUAAGUCACCAUUGGUCCCCUUGCUAUCAAGUCAAUUUCAUGCAUGCUUUUAUAAAAGUAGAGCUGUUGUGAAUCUUAUAGAGAUAAAAAGGAUAAAAAGAAGUCAGAAACAUUUUAGACCAGCUGUUUGUCCAAGUGUCAGCAUACUAUGUUACUCAUCGGUUAGGAGCAUUGGAUACGAUCAGAUUUUUAUAAGUUUUUCAUGUAUUUAGAGUAUCCUGGAUUUUAUCCGGAAAAGAUAGAAGACUUGCAGAGAUUUAGGCGAUAUGCAUCAACUAAGAGCAAACAUGGAGACCAAAGGCAUAAUUAUUAUUAUUAAAUGGAGAGAAAAGAUGAUAUCAGGAUUGCUCCUAAAGAUUGCAAGAUUCUGUUGGUCCCAUGAAGAUCUGGAAAGAUAUCAUAUGAAAAAUGUAGGAAGCCUGAAGUACAAACUGUAAAUCCGAAUCACUGGACUCAGUCAAAUAUUCAACUUUAUGAAAUUUCCAGGGAAAAAUUACAGGUCCCAUUCACUUCACUUGAGGAGGAUAAAAGUUUAGAUUCUUUUCAUCCAUGAAUUCCACCAGAAAUUUAUGUUUCUUGCCCAUGGAUAUGGAUAUGAAAAUGGGGUUUGCAAUCUUUAUUCUCUAAUGGUGCUCUCCUUUUUGACUACCAUGAUUCAUUUGUGUGAAAGAAAAAAAGAGAGGUGGCUUCUUAUGUAUAUUUCCCAGUAAUUUAAAGAACUCCUUGUUAACAUCAUGAUGAUGGAUAUUUCAUAACAUUCAUUCCCACCAAUCCUAAUAACAUAAAAAUAAAAAUAAAAAAUUAAAGUCUUGGUUUUAUGAAAUCGAUAUAAAAAUUAUUAUUCAAAUUCAGAUCUCAAUUGUCCAAACUAAUUUUGGACAUAUUUUUUAACAAUUUUAUAUAUUUUUAAUUUUUUUAUUAAAGAUUAAGUUUUUUUAUAUUAUUAUUAUUAUUAUUAUUUUGAAAUAAAAAUAUAAUAUAUAUAAUCUGUUAUUAAUAUUAUAAAUUUAAAUAAUAAUUAAUGAACGUCCAAACUCUGAUAGUAUUUCUCAAUACAAUUGUUAACAAGGAGUUCUUUAAAUUCCUGGAAAACAUACGUGAGAAUCCAGCUCUCUGUUUUUUUUCUUUCACACAAAUGGAUCAUGGUAGUAAAAAAGGAGAGCAAGAAUAAAGAUCGCAAACCCUAAAUCUAUUUGAUGUCUCUAUUAUAUUGUUUUAAAAUAUUGUAUAUAUUAAUAUUUAUUAAAUGAUUAAAAGUUUUUUACACAACAAAUAGGUCAAAAAUUAACAUGCAUGAUAUAUAUAUGAAAUGUAAAAUUUUAUUUGUUGGAUUGUUAAAAUAUUAGUACAAGAAUAUAUGAAAGAGUGUAAAACUAUCUUAUUUAUGGUUUAUUUAUCAAUUGGGUUAUUUUAUUUAAUUCCAAAAUCAAUUUUUAUUUAUUUAAUUUUGCAUUACUUUAAUCCCUUUUAUUUAUUUUACGUUGUAAGAGUUGUGGGUGCUUGGAUUGUGAGAAAUUUGAACACUACUGUCAAACUAAUCUUUAUGGGAAUGACUCUACCUCCUCUAUUAUAAAAUUUAUAUUUUGCUUUUAGGGGUAGGAUUUAUUUUUACUGGAUUUGACAUCAAUCAAAGUAUAAGAUAAGUGAACCCCUCCUCAUAUAUGUAAUACUACUGUACAACAUGAUUUUUUUUUUUAUUAUUUUGGAAAUAAUAAUGAAGGUAAUGACAAUUGUACAGGGACCUCAUAUUGAUUUUGACCAAAAUUAAUUCAUCCUGUAGCUAUCUCAAAUAAAACAAAGUAAUCAUGGUUUUGUUUCAUACAAUUUUAAAAAAUAAAAUAUUUUCAUUUAAUAAGAUAUUAUUGAAUUAUAAACACCAACAAAUUAGAUAAAACUUUAGCAUUUAAUUUUAUUAAAAUAAUAUAUUUUAUGAAAGAUACAUUCCAAAUAAGAUUGAUUGGUGUUAGAAUAAAAGAUGAGGAUUUAUAUUGCUUGGAGUAUAGAUUGAUCUUUGUUUUCAUUAGAUUUUAUUUCUCUGUUGUGAAGUUCAGGAUUCUACUUCUCCAUAAAUAAUACAAAUAAAUUUAUCCAAAAUUUGUAUAUUUAAAAGAUGAAAGUUAAGAUUAUAUUUAUAAAAUAAAAUAAAUUUUAAAAAUAUUAUAUUAAUUCAGGGAAUAUAAUUUUUUGUGUUAUUGAGUUUUUUUUUCUUUUGGAUAAAUUGAAUUUUAUUUUAUUUUUUAAAAAAGAAAUGUAACAACAUAAUUUUCGUCGGUGUCGAAAAAAUCAAUUUCAAGAUUGAAUGUAUUAAGUCGAGUUGCCCAAAAAUUUAACCCAGAAUUUCAUAAGUCAAAUAUAAGAUCAAAAAAUGAAAUUAGCUAGUAAUUAAAUACAGUGACCAAAUUGCAAGGUGAAUUAAAUGAAGAGAUUUAAUUAAAACUUAAGGUGCAAUAUUACCAAGGGCUAUAAGGCAAUUUAACCAUGAUAAAGAUUGUAUUAGUGACAAGCAUUGAUCCAUGAAUCCCAUCAAUUUUCUCAUGAAUAAACAUUAGCCACUGAUGAUGAAACCAUUUGUUGGUCUGAUGGUUAGAGUACUCACCACUUUAGGUGUGACUUGAGUUUCAGUCUCACUAGUCACGUUGCUAUUAAGGCUUUGUCCUUCUCUUGUAAUUCACCAAAAAUAUAUAUUAAAUGAUGAUAAUCCAUGAUAGUUUAGAGGAGGAGAUGAGAACUUAGAGAGAUAUUAGUGUUUAUUUAUAGUAGAAUGUCCCUGCAAUAUAUUUACGAAAUCAGAUUUUGAUUCAAUCGACGAAAUCGAGAGAUACAAUAAUUUCAUAUAUUAGGGUUUGGAGGGAUCAAAUUGAAUAAAUGAAUAACAUGCCCAAAAAUAUAGUUUGAUGUAUUUUAAGACUUUAAUAUUUAUUAGAAGUAGAAUUUUAUUUCAUUUAUAUUUUUUAUGUUUAUAAAUAUAGAAUUUGAAGAAACAUUGUAAACAUCUCUUGUUUUUACUCUAUCUAUUCUUUUAUUUCAUAACAAUUUUAAAUUUGAUAAAAUUUAAAUUAUUAAAAUCUAAUGUUUUAAUAAUUAAAAUUUUUAAAAGAAAUUAUCAUUAUAUUUUCAAUUAAAAUUUUUAAUAAUUAUAUUUUUUAUAUUUUCUAUGUCCGUUUUUAUGGUAUAUACUCAAGGUUCAUGGUUAUCUCUCUUAACAAUAUUGUUUCUAAGAUUUGAACCUAUGUUAUUUUCCUAAAAGUACAAUAUGUCUUAACAGUGCAGUACCCAACACUUAAUAAUGAUUUUUAAGAGAUAAUAAUAAUUUUAACAUAUUUAUGAUAAUUUUAAAUAUUAAAUUAUAAUUUUAAGAGAUAAUAAUAAAUUUAAUAUAUUUAUGAUUUUAAUAAUUUUAAAAUCAUUAUCAUCUCUUAAAAUUAUAAUUACCCACCACUAACUCUAUAAAUACUAUCUAGAACUUUUUUCAUCUUAUUACAAAUUUCAUUUUAAAAUGUGUAUUUUUUUUCUACUUGUACCUUAUAUUUUGAAAUUGUGAUAAAAAAAUUUCCCUCUAAUUACCCUGUUCUAGUAUGUAAACUUAUAGGACACCAAAACCAAAUUUAAAACACCAAAAGCACAUACCAAAAGCACCUCCAAACAUGCUAGGCAUAAACAUGUCACAAUAACAUACAAAUUCAGCCAUCAUGCUAGCUUGCUUAGCAAUCAAGUCAUCAAGCAUCCUUAUGCAUAACCAUCAUACAUUUAUUUCUUACAUUAAUCAUGGUGAUAUAUAUAUAUAUAUAUAUAUAUAACAUAUUCAAAAAUGUUAAAAACUCAUUCUUAGCUUAAGUUAGAUCACCAAAUGCAAACUAAAAAAUGUUAGCAUGUGAGACUCCAUUUACUCCUACUAAUUUAGGUAAAUGUAAAUUCAUAUAAACUUUAAUCAGAUUGAGAUGAGAGUUUUAGAUGCUAUCAAAAUAUUUUGAUCUAAAUGGAACCUACUCAUCACCUCUGCACAAAAACAAACAUAUUCACACAUUGAGCAUUGAAAUCUCAAUGAUACUAAAAUAAUUUGAAUUCAAAAUGUAACUAUGAUAAAAUAAUAAGCAUAACAACAAAAAAUUAUAACAUAUCAUUAAAUAAAAAUUGCAAUAUAAAAUAAAAUUCACAAGAUUUAAUGUUUUCUUAUGAACGGCCCCAAGACUCUUAGUUUACAACUUUUGCAUGAUCAAUCAAACACUUUGUAUUUCUCAUUUUCAUUAACAUGUAAAUUGGUUCUCUUUCUUUAAAUAAAAAAUAUUUCACUUUCAGAUUUUAUUAUCGUAUAUCAUAAUACAUUUUUGUCCCUAUUAACCAAUUUUGGACUCAAGAUUGGAUAUACAGAUUAUUACAUCGAUUUACACUCACGAUCUCCAAAUCUUUUAGAGGUAGUGAUACGUUCUCGGACCUCGGAGCUCUAGAGAACUAUCGAAUAAUAUGUAAAUGACAUACGUUCCUGAUCCUAGGGUUCUAAAAAACUACUAAGUAAGAUGUUUCCAACAUUAAAGUAAUUUUAAAUAACAAAUUCUACGGCGUAUCAAUUAUACUUAAAACUCUAUUUGAUACCAUUUAACAGGACAUUGUCAUUAUCUUUUAUCAUCAAAUUAUAUGCGAACACAAUGUGUAUUAUAAUAUCAAAUUUACCAAUACAUAUAUAUUUAUUCCACGUUAUGUCAUUCAUAAUUAAGUCAUUAAAAAUAAUUAUACUUUCAUUCCAUUAAAUAUCACUUUCAAUUCUUAAGCUUGCUUAAUUAUAAUUUCACAAUUCAUUUUUAAUAUAUUAAUCUUAUACAUACUAUUCAUAACACCAUAAUAAUGUUAAUGUAUAUACUUACUUAACAAGUUACCAUUUAUGCUCAAUAUCAACAUGGCACAAAUCUCAUUUAUGUCAACCUUUAUUACUGAAGAUUUCACAUGUUAAAUUACUUAAUAAUUUUGUGUAAUGCAUGCAAAUUAUGCUAGCACAAAAUGAAUUCUUUUUUUUAGUCUAUGAAAUUCAGUUUUGUCUUUAACUUUAUUCAAUAAUUUAAAUAUGAAAAUGAAAUUAGUAAUACAUUAAAUAUAGAAUUUGUUGAAACAAAGUAUAAAUAUAUUUUUCUCAACUUUAUCUUUUUGUACCCUAAUAUCUGAUUUUCAUAUCUUCCAUUACAAUCUAAAUCCAACUUUAUACAUAAACUCUAGAGGUUCACAUCAUUUUCUCACUAAUUUCCAAGCUUCAACAAUAGCCACAUUAACCAAUCUUAAAUCAAACCUUAUUCCUACUCUAAAUAUUAUGGUUCCACUCAUUCCACUCUCUACUCUCCAGCAUUCAACAAUGGUAACAACAAUGGUAACUUUAUGAAACUCUAAUAAUUUCAUGAUCUAUGGAAUGGGUUAUAAUAAUCUAAUAUCAUAAACUAGGAAUUUACCAAAAAAUAAAUGAAAAAGCUUACCAAUGCUAAGUAUAGCUCACGGCAAUAGGAGAAAAACCAUGAAAUUUUCUUCUUUUCUGUCUUUGUUGCCGUGAAGAAGAAGAUGGAAUGGUCCACUAAGUUCUUUCAUCUUUUGCCUUAUAAUAUCUGAUUUUCAUUAAUUAAUUAAAGUAAAAUUAUCUUAUCUAAUGGUGGAUAAUUAAACAUGAAAAAGAUAGUGGGAAUUAAUGGCAAUCAUCAAUACAAGCAACUAACAAUGUUUUAGUUAUGGUUUGUUAGAAAUCAAACCAACUUUCCAAAGUCAAAAAUUGCAACCAAAGAGUUUGUAUCCAAAUUGGCUUCUACCUCAUACAUCUUGGUUUUCAAAUUGAAUACAACUUUGCAAAUUGGAUAAAGCUUAUCAUGUUGGAAACUUCAUGAAAAAUCAAGAUGGUAGCAACAUUGAAAAGUUCUACAAGGCAAGGCAUGUACAAUGGAUAAGCAUUAUCAUUUAUGAUACACUUAAGGGAUAAGCAAUCAUUAAGGUAACUAGACUAUGUCUAUAUAUAUGUAUAUAUAGUUUAUGUGUUGUGAGUGUUGAAAAAAAUUAGUGAGUUUGAAAAGUGUUGUGAGUAUAGAAAGAAAAACUAGCAGCAGCUAGUAUAGAGAGAAAAAAUAAAAGAGUGUUUGUAUUGUAUUUUGUAUUGUGUUUAUUUGUGUGUAAUAAAAUUAGUAUUUGAGUUUUUUUUUAUUACGCUUCCAACAAGUGGCAUCCGAGCUAGGUUCGUGUUGACGUCGCAAUGGGAAACAUGAUUCAACUGCAGAUCCCGAAAUUAACAAUGACAAAUUAUGACAACUGGAGCAUCUAGAUGAGGGCUUUGCUCGAUUCUUAAGAUUGUUAAGACGUUGUCGAAGAAGGAUAUGUCGAGCCCGAAAAUGCAGCUACCGAAGCGGCUUUGACAAAUGAAGAAAAAAGAGCAUUGAAAAAAGCUGGUAAAAAGGAUAAGAGGGCGUUGUUUUUUUUAUUUUUCAAGGUGUUGAUGAAUCAACCUUUGAAAAAAAUUUCAGAUGCGAAGACAUCAAACGAAGCAUGGGGAAUUUUGUAAAAAUCCCUUCAAGGAGCAGAAAAGGCUAAAAAGGUACGCUUACAAACCCUUAGAGCCGAAUUUGAGACGCUGAAAAUGAAACCGUUGGAAAGUGUUGAUGAUUAUGUUAUUCGGGUGAAAGCGGUGGUAAAUGAAAUGAAAAGAAAUGGAGAAACACUUGAUGAUGUCAAAGUAAUGGAAAAAAAUUUGCGGUCAUUGACACGCAAAUUUGAUUAUGUGGUGGUUGCCAUUGAAGAGUCAAAAGAUUUAUCACAAACAUCAAUCGACGAACUUGUGGGCUCCCUCCAAGCCCAUGAGCAUAAAAUGAAGCUAAAUGAUGAUACUGGAAAUUCGAACCAAGUCUUGCAAAGCAAGUUGUUCUUCAACGAAAGUGGAGCUAGGGAUAAUUUUGGACAAGGUACGAGCAAUCGUGGAGGAUACCAUGGAGGAUAUAGAGGCAAAAAUAGAGGUGGACGAGGAAAUCAAUCAUAUGGUAAAGUCCAAACAAGUGACGAAUAUCAAACAUCAAGUCGUGGACAAGGAGCUCGAGGCCAAGGUCGAGACAGAGGUAGAUUUCAACUAGGAAAUAAAUCUCAGGUACAAUGUUAUAAUUGCAAUAAAUAUGGCCAUUAUAGUUACGAGUGUAGAUCAAAUUCCAAGAUGGAUGAGAGAAAUCAUGUAGCAGCAGCUAAAGAAGAAGAAAACAUGGAAUCUAAUGUAUUCCUCACUUAUAAAGAAAGUGACAAAUCAAGAAAAAAUAUUUGGUAUCUUGAUAAUUACACCAACAAUCACAUGUGUAGCCGAAAAGACUUAUUUUCAGAGUUGGAUGAGAAUAUUCAUGGACAAGUAACGUUUGGAGAUGAAUCGAAUGCCAUGGUCGAAGGCAAAGGCAAAGUCACUAUUACACAAAAGAAUGGAGAAAAGAAGUUCAUUUAAGAUGUUUAUUACGUACCAGCUUUGAAAAGCAACAUCAUCAGCCUUAGACAGCUUCUAGAAAAAGGAUAUGAAGUACAUAUGAAGGAUUUCAUGCUCGCCUUAAAAAAUAAGAGUGGUGAAUUAAUUGCCCAAGUUGAUAUGACGCGUAUCCAUCUGUUUACUAUUGACAUUGAAUCUGGAGAGGUGAAAUGUAUGAAGAAUACAAUUAAAGAUGAAUCAUGGUUGUGGCAUUUAAGGUUCAGGCAUCUUGGAUUUUCCGGUCUGAAGCUAUUGUCAAAAGAAAAUUUGGUGAAUGGGUUGCUAAAAAUUAAUCCUCCUGAUCAACUGUGUGAAGCCUGCAUUAAGGGAAAACAACACAUACAGAGUUUUGAAGCGGGAAAAACUCGACGAGCUAGGAGACCAUUGGAGAUCGUGCACUCCGAUAUAGCAGGUCCUUUUGAUAUACCAUCAUUUGGUGGAAACAGGUACUAUGUUACUUUUAUUGAUGAUUUUAGUAAAAAAAGUUGGAUAUAUCUUCUUAAAACAAAAUCAGAAGCACUUGACAUGUUUAUUGAGUUCAAAGCCAUGGUAGAAAAAUAGAGUGGACAUUUCAUUAAGAUACUUAGAACUGAUAGAGAUGGUGAGUAUACUUCAAAGCUAUUUGAAAGCUUCUGCAAGAAAGACGGAAUUAUUCUCCAGUUGACAACUGCGUACACGCCACAACAAAAUGGAAUCACUGAAAGAAAGAACCGUACUAUUCUUGAUAUGGCAAGAAGCAUGGUUAAAGGUAAGCAUUUACCAAGAAUUUUCUAGGCUGAAGCUGUUCAAUGUGCUGUUUAUUUGUUGAACCGGUGUCCAAUAAAAAGUGUGAAAUACAAGACGCCAAAUGAAGCUUGGAGCAAUCAAAAGCCAGAAGUCAGACAUCUCAAGAUUUUUGGAUGCAUUGCAUAUGCUAAUGUUCCUGACCAAAAGAGAAAGAAGCUUGACGAUAAAGGAGUAAAAUGUAUUUUCAUUGGUUAUGAAAAGAGAAGUAAGGCAUAUAGGUUAUACAACCCUCUUACCAAGAAAGUUAUUAUUUCAAGAGACGAUGAAUUCGAUGAAGCUGAUUAUUAGAGAUGGAGUGAAGAAGAAAAGAAAAUUUAAGGAUUAUUUUUCAGUGAUGACAAAGACGAUGACAUCAUUAAUCAAGAACAAGGCGACGAUCAAAGCCCUCCUCCAAGUCCUGUUGCAACAACUCCAACAACAUCAUCAUCACCAACCAGCAGCAAUACCAGCAACUCAGAGGAAGCACCUGCAAGAAUGCGUAGUUUACGCGAUGUUUAUGAGGUUAUAGAACCCAUAGAAACAAUAAUUGAUUAUUCAUUAUUCUGUUUGAUGACAGAAUGUGAUCCAAUAAUAUAUGAAGAUGCAAUUAAAGACGUCAAAUGGAAGAAGGCAAUGGAUGAAGAAAUUGCAGCAAUAAGAAAAAAUGACACAUGGGAGCUAACAAGUUUACCAGAAGGACAUAGUCCAAUUGGAGUUAAAUGGGUGUACAAGACGAAGACCAACAAAGAAAGAAAUAUGGAGAAAUACAAAGCAAGACUAGUUGCAAAAGGCUACAAGCAAAGAUAUGGUGUAAACUAUGAUGAAGUACUUGCUCCAGUCACCAGAAUUGAUACUAUAAGGCUUCUUAUGGCAGUUGUAGCACAAAAUAAAUGGAAAAUUUAUCAGAUGAACGUGAAGUCAGCAUUCCUUAAUGGCUACAUGGAAGAAGAAGUCUACAUUGAGCAACCACCUAGAUAUUGCAAACAAGGACAAGAAGAAAAAGUUUAUCGCUUGAAGAAAGCUUUAUAUGGACUAAAGCAGGCUCCGAGAGCAUGGAACAAAAGAAUAGAUGAAUACUUUCAGAAGAACGAGUUCAUGAAAAGCCCAUACGAGCAUCUCUAUAUACGAAGAAAAAUGAAGUUGGUGACAUCAUGAUCGUGUGCUUAUAUGUGGAUGAUAUGAUUUUCACAGGAAACAAUCCAGGUAUGUUCAAUGACUUUAAGAAAACUAUGACUAAAGAAUUUGAAAUGACAGAUAUAGGUGAAAUGUCAUACUUUCUUGGAGUUGAAGUGAAACAAAUGAAAUAUGGAAUAUUUGUGUCUCAAAAGAAGUAUGCAGAACAAAUUUUAAGAAAAUUCAAUAUGAAAUACUGCAAGCCAGCAGCCACGCCAGCAGAACCAAGCAUGAAAUUAAGUGUUGAUUCAUUCAGAGAGCCAGUAAAUCCAACGUUGUUUAAAAGUAUCAUUGGAAGUUUAAGGUACUUGACUAUCACACGGCCAGACAUCAUGUACGCAGUGGGAAUAGUUAGCAGAUACAUGGAGAAGCCAAAACAAAAUCACCUGAUUGCAGCAAAGAGAAUUUUGAGAUACAUCAAAGGUACGGUGGAUCAGGGUUUAUUUUAUACAUACUCACAAAGUUCAAAAUUGGUUGAUUAUUCAGAUAGUGAUUAUGGUGGUGACUUGGAUGAUCGCCAAAGUACAUCCGGAUAUUUAUUCUAUAUUGGCUCCGCAGCAUUUUCAUGGUCAUCGAAAAAGCAACAAACAGUAGCCCUUUUAACAUGUGAAGCAGAAUACAUGGCUGUUGCAACAUGCACGUGUCAAGCAAUUUGGUUGAAGAAUAUUUUGGGUGAAUUAUCUAUUAUACAAGAAGGUCCAAUUACAAUUUAUGUUGACAACAAGCGCACAAUAUCUCUUGCAAAGAAUUCAGUGUCUCAUAGUUGAAGCAAGCAUAUCGAUACAAAGUAUCAUUUUAUUCGAGAGCAAGUGAAAAAUAAAAAUAUGGAGUUUGUUUACUACAGAACAGAAGAUCAACUGGCAGACAUUUUUACGAAGCCAUUGAAAGCGGACAUAUUCCAUAAACUCAAAGAAAAGCUUGGAAUGAAAAGUUCGGUUUGAGGGGGAGUGUUAGAAAUCAAACCAACUUUUCAAAGUCAAAAAUUGCAACCAAAGAGUUUGUAUCUAAAUUGGCUUCUACCUCAUACAUCUUGGUUUUCAAAUUGAAUACAACUUUGCAAAUUGGAUAAAGCUUAUCAUGUUGGAAACUUCAUGAAAAAUCAAGAUGAUAGCAACAUUGAAAAGUUCUACAAGGCAAGGCAUGUACAAUGGAUAAGCAUUAUCAUUUAUGAUAUACUUAAGGGAUAAGUAAUCAUUAAGGUAACUAGACUAUGUCGGGAUAAGUAAUCAUUAAGGUAACUAGACUAUGUCUAUAUAUAUGUAUGUAUAGUUUAUGUGUUGUGAGUGUUGAAAAAAAUUUAGUAAGUUUGAGAAAAAAAAAGUGUUGUGAGUAUAGAAAGAAAAACUAGCAAUAGCUAGUAUAGAGAGAAAAAAUAAAAGAGUGUUUGUAUUGUAUUUUGUAUUGUGUUUAUUUGUGUGUAAUAAAAUUAGUAUUUUAGUUUUUUUUAUUACGCUUCCAACAUGGUUUAAUAGCAUUUAAGGACUUUGGUUAAUGACCCAUUUAAUCCAUCAAUUCUAGUCUCCUUGCAAUGUAGUCCUUAUACCUAACUUAUUAUUGACCAACCUUCCAAACUAGUCCUUGUACUUUUCUUAAUAAUUUAUCUAAUUUAUUUGCUUAAUAAUUCUAAUCUCUAAUUCCAUAAUUGUCGCAUAAAUCCUCGAUAAAAUUUUCAGACUAACUCGACUUAAGAAAUUUGGUUUUGAAACAAUACUUUCUGAUACCAUCGAAAAUUAAAUUGUUACACUAUUUUUGUUAAAUGAUAUCAAAGUUGAUGUCAUAGCAGUCAUUAGCAUGGUUCUAAACCAUUCAUCUUCUGAUUUUGCUUCUUGAACCUUUGGUUGAUGAUUGCAGGCUUUUAUGGGGAUCAUUCCAAAAUAAUCAUCUGUAUGUGUGGAUGCUUUAACUCGAAAAGAAAGCAACCUUUAUGUGCUUACUAGCUUUUAUCUAGAUAAUUCUACUAGAGAUUAUGUUUCUAAUUCCUCUAUGCCAAACUUUAUGUCUUUCCUCGUUAAAGCCGAUAGAACUGAAAUAUUCUAUGUUUCGUACUGUUAUUUGAUCUAUGACGUGCUCUUUAUGACCAGAAAAGAAACCCACUAAUGGGGUUGUCGACUCGAUUGGUAAAGGUUUUAGGGCUGAGAUUUGCCUAGUUAAUUGGUAUUGCAACCCGUCUCGUGCUCUCUCAUGCUUGCUAGAGAGAUGUUCUUGUAACUCAAUCUAAAGAAAAUGUUAUUUCAGACUUUAAACUUUUUUAAUUAAUCUGAUAUUAGCAAUUACAAAAUUGAACUCCAUUGUUGGCUCAUUGAUCAGGCUGUUUACCCCACAACCCACAUCGUAGGUUGGAGUUGAAGGGAUUAUCCUUUUUAUGCAGUGUGCGUUGACAAUAAUUUGCUCCGGCUAAUGAUGUGUCGUAAAAAAAACAAUUAGAAAAUUAAAAGAAAAGAGAAAAAGUUGGAAAGUUGAUGAGUGGCAGCGCUAGUGCAGGGCACAUGAGGGAAUGGGAAUAUUAGGAAAGUUUGGAAAUUAGGGGGUUAAGAAGGUAUGAACAAAAUAGAAGGUGUGGAACAUAAGAUGACAAAAAGACAAAACAUACAUGAGUUCACGGGUUUGGUUUGUUCAUCAUCUAAAAGGGUAAAAAGUAGAAACAUAAAAAAAUAAUAAUAAAAGUUGAGAAAAAGUUCACGGGUUCCCAUUUGCAUUGAUUUCAUCUUCCCCACCUUGCCCAACAACUGCUUCACUUCAUCGAUCCAACCUCCAACUCCUCCAUUUUGGAAAGCUUCAUCAUCAUGUCUCGUGGUUGUAGUUAUUGGAUCCAGAGGCUGUUAAUGGUGGCCUGGUUGUUGAGUUGGAAGAAGUGGCUAUCCGAUAUAGAUAUUGGGGCGGCGGCGGCAGCACCAAACGUCAAACCGCAAGGCAACAUCUCCAAAGUAGAAGACGCUCAAAACUACCAUAUUUACUAUGGUCAGACUUUCAAAGUCAUUAAGAAUGGCAUUGAUGGCAAGAGUUAUCUUCUCAUCCAGGUACCUCCAUCAUCUCUUCUUUUUUCCUUUAUUUCUGAUAUCCAUUUCUGAAAUUUUAAUAUAUAGAGUGAUACAAGGAUGGCUGGAAGGACAAAAUAUUGCACACCAAGGAUUAAGUCAUUUGUCAUCCCACUCUCUAACUUUUCAGUCGAUACCACCACCAGUUUUCCAGGUAUUGCCGCCGUUUAAAAUUGGGUUAAAGUGUAAAUUUCACAUUAUAGAUAAAUAUUGAAUUUUGUCACUAUACAUUAUUUUGAAGGUUAGUAUAUCAUUUGUUAUCUAUAUUUGGCUCAAAUAUUUAAUUUAGUACCUAAAUUUUUUUGUCUCAAUUUUGGUAUUCGAGUUUAGUUUUAAUAUUUGAUUUAGUACCCAAAUCAAACAACAUAAUGUGGUCUAAUAAAUAUUUGAUCUGUAUGUUUUUAUAAAAAAAACAUAAGUACUUAAUUAAGACAAAGGAAAAACUCAUGUACUAAAUUGAUCGUUGAAGUCCAUUUAGGUAUUUGUAUGAGAUAAAGAAAACUCAAGUAUCUAUUUGAAAAAAAAAUUCAAGUGCCAAACUGAACAUUGAAGUCAAAAUUAGGUGCCAAAUUAAGACAAAAAAUUUAAAUAUCAAAUCGAAUAUUAAAAUCAAACUCAAAUACUAAAUAGUAUAUUAACCCUUAUUCUGAUUGAUAUUUAUCAUUAUAUUUUGAAAAAAUAAAUAAAUUUAUCACUCAACUUUUAUAUAUUUUAAUUUUACUACUAAAUUUUUAAAUUUUAUUAAAUUUUUCUACUAACUUUAAUUUUGUAAAUUAAAAUUUAAAACUAAAUAUUAAUUUUGGUGGAAAAAGAAAAAAUAUUUCUAACAAUAAUUUAACUUAAUAAAUUAAGUUAGAAUUUUUAAUGAAAAUUUUGAUAGUUAGAAAGGUAAAUGAGUAAUUAUAUUGAUGGUAUUGUUGUACUAUUUAUUGUCAUCAAUUAGUUUUAACAUGUAUCAUUAUUAAUUUCAUUCCCAAUAUUUAUAGCUAACAAAUUUUUCUCAUGUGCCUUAUCUUAUGUUCUCGGCUUCCAGUUUCCUUUUUUGAGGUAAGAACCAAAACCAAUAUAAUUUGCUAUAUGUGUAUACAUGGUUGAUAUAUACUUUUUAUACAUAAUUCAAUUUUUUUUUAAAAUAUUUAUUUACUAUAACAAUCAUUAUUAAAAUUAUUGAAAUAAGUAUAUCAUUUAAUUACAUUUAAUUGUAAUAAAUAAUUGAAUUAGGCUAAUGUUGACGAGAUCCUUCUUCAUCAACCGACAUGCUCCCUCUUCCCUAGAUUUGAUCAUGGAUUUCAUUAUCUAUUCAAGCUUAAAGGUUCAUUUAAAAAACAAGAGGAUUUUAAUAAAAAUAUAAGUCUGAAAAAUAAGUUUAGACAAAAAAUAAGGUUUGUUUUCUAAACGAAUCAAGCCUUGAGUAGGAUUUUUUGACACGAGUUCGGCUUGAAUUAGCUUAAACUUUCUUUUAUGCUAUUAUUGUGCUGCCAUUUUGCUAUUAGAUUGCUAAUAUUUUGUUAUUAUUAUUUGUAUAUUGCAUAACUCUUGUUUUAUUGUUCAUUUUGUUACUAUUUUAGAUGCAUUUGUUUACUAAGUUACAACUAUGUUAGUGUUAUACAAGUAUAAAGUUUUUUUAAUGUAUUUUCAAUUUGUUUAAUGCUUUUAGUGUACUUGAUAUAUUAUAUUUUUAAAUUUGUUUUUAUAUAAAAAUAAUAUAAAAAAAUUAAUAUGGACAAGUUGGGUCAAGGUCAAAUUUAACAUUUUUAAUCUGAGUUGAAUUUAGUAUUUGGAUAGAAUUUUUAAGUUCGGGUUUAAAAAAUAGGCCUAAAAUUUUACAUUAAUCAAGUCUGAAUUCGGCCUGACUCAUCUCAUGAUUAAGUCUAUUCUUCCCCCACCCUAAACAAAUGAAUACAACAUUGGCGCCAUUGUUAUAAAACAACAGUUAUAUGGAGGGCAAACGUUAUUAACAGAGUUUGAAUUUUGGUUGCUAAGUGUGAACAAAAGAUCUGCUAUUCUAAAUUUGUAUGCACGAGUCCUAUAAAAAACACAAUUUAUAUAUGAAUUGUGUUGUCUCUCUUUUUUUAUAUAUAUUUUAUAUUAGUUUUACGGUUUAAGUUUAGAGUUUAUAGCUGCUUUUUUUUUUUAAAUAUUGUAUCUAAAAUUUAAAAUUAUAUUUUUCUUAAAAAUGUAAUGUACCUUACCAUUAUACUUAACACUUAUUGAGUCAAUUAUGUAAUUUUAAAUAUAUAUAUUAUCCACUUUUAUAAUUUAUUUAUUGGAUUUAUUUUAUAAAUUUUGUAAUUAAAUAAAUAUAUAUAGUGGUUGAAAGUGAAUAUUGAAAACUGUAAUGAGAAAUAAGGAGAAGAAAAUAAUUAAAGUUAGGAAUGCAGCUAUUGGGAGUAGUGGGAAGCAUGAAAGGGAUGACAUCAAACACGGUGGCCUCUGAAUGUGUACUGAAAAUGGUUGAAGGAGGAGAAAUAAGUUUGAUCAACGCAAGUGAGCCUCAACAGCUCGCACCAUUUGUCGCACAUUUUGUUUCUAACCUUGAUCUAUAUCAAGCUUGCAAUUUCGCUAACUUUGCCGCUACUGGAGAGGACUCUCCUUUACAGGUUCUUUUUUAAAUAUCAAUAAUUUUAUAUACAAGUUGAUAUAUUCUUGAUGAGUAUUUUUCUCUAUCUUCUUUAAAUGGCAAGGUUGUAUAUUUAUAUGAUAUGGUUACUAUUUAUUAAUGUGAUAUUUUAGGUAAGUUUCAUACAUGCCAACUCGUAUUCUACACUAAACUUAAUACGUGUUUAUACGAUGGGGGUUCCCCUAUAUAGUAACAUGUGAACCCAUAUCGCACGAUUCCAUGGGUGAUCUCGCGUGUGAUCUUAUGGGAGAGUGUAAAUUCCUCUCUUGCAAACACUUAGUGUCAUGCGAGCUCAGUGUGUGAACCAUCUAGAAUCCAACCCGGACUCAUUCGGGUUAUGGAUAGAUAAUAGUAUCGUAACAAUUCUCAAUGGAUCACAAAACAUCACUAGUUAAUAAUAUUUUAUUUUAUUUUUAAAAUUAUUUAUUAAUUUAUUGAUGAUGUAUUUUAAUACGAAUUACUAUUUGGGUAUUUUAUAUUAUUUUUUAAAACUCAAUUAUGAAUUUAUUUUAAGGGUUUUUUUUUAUCUUUUUACAUGCAUUUAAAACUACUCCACAUUAUUUUUUUAUAAAUUUAUUAUAUAUAUUUUACUUAUAAUUGAUGUGACACAGAGGGCAGAAUGGAUCAAGUUCUUGGGGGCUUUUGCAAAUUUGGAGAAGAGAGCAAAUCAAGUCUACAAAGCGGUCAGUAUUUAUUUUCAUCUCAUAAAACAAAUAUGUCAUUCUGAAACUUUUCAAUUUAUUAUUAUUUUUAUGGGUAAAUAUUUGUUUUAUUUAUCUUAAAUAUAUAAUUUUCAACUUUAAAAUAAAUAAAAUUAAUGUUGAUCAGUCUCAUUAUAUAUUCUAAUUAUAUUUAUUCCUUUUUAUACAAUUUCUAAAAUUAUUUAUAGUUCCUCCUAAACCCAUAAAUAAAAGGAUAAUGUACUUCAGUGCACUCGAACGUACCCGCGUCUUUUUACAUUGACAAUAAUAUUCAUCCCAAUCGAACUAAGAUUCAAUCAAAAAAAAAUAAGUAAAAUUAAUAAAAGGUGCAUUCACAUGUAAAGUUUAUUUUAUUUAGAAAUUGUUAUAGAAUAUUUUUUUAGUAUAUGAAGAUAAAAAAAAUUAAUGCAAAUUCUUUUACAGAAAAUUUUAAUGCAAAGUUUAUCCAAGGUAGUGAAAAUCUAAAAUUUUAAGGUAAGGUAAUAUAUAAGUUUUAUUUGUUUAAUAAAUACCAAAGUGUUUUAAAGAAAUUAAACUUAUUAUUUAUUUAAUAUAUAAAAAUAUUAAUAAAUGGAUUAUUAUUUUUCACUAUGAAUAUUGACGUGUCUUUUUUUAUUAUAUUUUAAUAUUUUAUAAGUUUUAACAUUACUUGUGAACUGAUUAUACGAAAAUGUCUGUAAAGAUAACAGUAAUUAAGGCAUAAUAAUGAAUGAUAUUGUUUUAGAUUGACCCUUGCUAUUUUAAUUAUUGUUUCAGGUAAAGGACAACUAUUUAUGCUUAACUAAAGUUCCAGAGGCCAAGGAAAAAGCAUUCAAACCAAUAGUGGCAUGGAUGGAAUACCAGAAUGUAGGUAGCUGAACCAGUGGCCACACAUUCAUAUGCUUGAUUUCAUCCCUAAAUCCAAGUAUACGUAGGGUGAGUAAAAUUCGAUUUGAUUCGAGAAAAAUUUAAAUUUUGAGUUAAUCGAAUCAAGUUAUUUGAAUUAUUCGAGUCGAGUUAAAUUUUACGACUCGAAUAAUUUGAAUAACAAAUUAGUGUAAAUACCCAUUUGGUCCCUAUCAAUUUUGAAAAGGAGCAAAUUAGUCUUUCACUCAACAAAAAUUAAAAAAAAAAUUCAAAAUAAUUUUUAAAGUUCCAAAAUUUAUAUUUUUAAAAAUUAUAAAAUUUAAAAAGAAUUUAAAGAAUAUAUAAAGAAAUUUAAAUUUUUUCUAAAAUAAUAAUUUGGGACCUAAAUAAGUUAAUUAAUGAUUCAAGUUUAUUAUACUAAUUUUUUUGGAGGCUUUGAAAAAGUUCACAUAUAUAGGGUUUCAAAUUUAUUUGCUUUAACAUGAAAUUAAUUAUGAUGUAACAAUAUUUUAAUUUGACAUGUUGAAUUUUUUAAUUUAACUCUAUUCAAAAAAAUUUCAAAUCAAAGUAGGAUGAUAAAAUAAUACUCGUCAAAUCGGUUAACUCAAAAUUUUUUCACUCGAUUUGAUCGAAAACUCACUUCCACAUACAUGCAUGGUUUUUUUAUCAAAAGUUAGAAUCUGAAAAUAACCGAGUUGCAAAAUAAAUGCAGGGCAUAUGGUCUUUCACAAAGGAAUUAUACAAGUUAAAGGUAUUAAAUAAAUUGAAAAUAAUUUUGUUAGUUAGAUUAUUGUGUAAUAUUUAAAUUUAAUUUAAGGUGAAAACAGUAUGUAGAAGAUGCAGGAGGAGAAAAUGUGGACGCCUCCAUUAACAAGAUUACAUACAAUAUCUCCAACCCUGAUGAUAUUGAAGAUUUGCAUGCUAUUCUAUGUGUAAGUUAUGUUUUUAUUUAUAAAUGUUUUUUUUUUUAAAAAAUCAUUAACAACUUUAUUAAUAUUUAUUUCAGACAGUGGAUGUUGUAAUAGAUGAAACAUACAGUUGGGAUGCAAUUGGAUACAAUACCACUACCUUCCUCCAAAACAUAAACAUUGAAGAUCAUUCAUGUUUUGGAUUUCUUACUAACCAAAGCAUCUGGAGAUACGAUAAGAGAAUCUAUAAAUUAACAACUCUUGGUAAUGAUUUUUUAUUUAUCUUUUCUUUUGUUAUUUAUUUAUUUAUAUAACAAUAAUUAUUUCACUCUUUUUUUUACAUAAAAAAAUGAUUAAAGAUUGGUUUGAUGGUGCUGUCUCUCAACCCCAACUGGUAUUAGCUGAUCUUAUUGAGAUUUUGUUCCCUACUGGAAACUAUAACACCACUCACUUCAGAAAUCUUGCCAAGGUACAAUCUUUAUUUAUUUAUUCAUGUAUUUCCAUUUAUGAGCUUAAUACAUAUAUCUAAUGUUUAGGGAGAAGGUGUUGUAAGCAUUGAGCCCAACAUGUGCCAAAGGGAUAUGUCUACACCAUUGGAUCCCACGAUUCUACCUUGCCCGUGAUUUCUUUGUUUUAUAAUCAAUUUUGGUCUCUCGUUUUAAUGGUUCUGCUAAUAUAUUUGAUCUGUUGGGACCUCAAUACGAAAGGCUUAGAUUUAAAUAAAUUAGUGUUUGAAUUAUGACCAGAAAAACAAACAUGAGUUUAGCUAUAAAUUUCAUCACUGUUUGGUAUUUUCUUUACAUUAAUUUUUGGUUGCCCAGUUAUUUUAAGUUUAUGGUAGACUUCUUUUCCAGACACUUAUUAAGAGAAUAAUUAGAUAUCAUCCAAAUUUACAACAGUUUUUUUUUUUUUGUAAUCAUUAUAAAUACCUUGGUAAUGAUAACUCGUUGAUUGUAAUUACAGAAAACGUUGCUUCUCUUUAUGGUAUCGGUUUUGAGAUGUACCGUUUAAACAUCAUUCUUUUCGAUUCUUACCAUGGCUAUCCAAUCACCGUCGUCGUCGUCAUAUUCUUUUUCCCUGUCCUCAUUAGAGCACAAUCAAGCUUACUUCCUCAAAUUAUCUUCUCUGGAAAACACAAUUUAUUUAUUGUUCCUUUGUGAGAAAGAAUUGGUUCAUCACAUUGAUGGCUCCAACUCUCCCCCUAAAUAUCUUGAUAAUACUCCAAACCCAGAAAAACAAUUUGGUAUGUUAAGGAUCAAACUAUGUUAUGUUGGAUCCUUAGCUCUGUUUCUGAAACUGUUCUCUCUCAAGUUGUUGGUGUCACCAUAGCCUACGUUACUUGGUCUUGGUGGAAGACUUCCAUGCUUCAGGAUCAAAAACUCAAGUUCUCACUAUAAAAAAUGUUCUUUAUGCUUUGUCAUGAGACUAUGACUCUAUAGUCACCUACAUGGAUCAUGCCAAACUUCUUGUACUUGAUGCUUCGAUCUUUGAGGAUGAUCUUAUUGAUCAUAUCUUGCAUGAUCUUGGCUCAGAUUACAAACCCUUUACACGCAAUAUUGAAGCAAGGUUACCUUGUAACAUCCCUCACUUGAAAUGAAUCGAUACAUCACGAGCAAGGGAUGUCACAUUUGAACACUAAGACUACUUAACUCGAGCAUCAAUCACAAAUUUUUGCUUUAACGUAAAUAGACUCUUUUGAAGUUUUUCAAGUCAUUUCUAGACUUUCUUUAAAGUUUGGUUACAAACGGGGACCAUUCAAGGAUUAUUUGGGAUUAAAACAGGGUAAACAAGAUCAAUGUCGCGACACUGGAAAAUGGGUGUCGUGACACUAACUGAUGUUGCGACACUAAGCUUUUGAUGUCGUGACACCAAGGGCAAAUUACUCUAGUUACAUGUCCAAUGUUGCAAACUGAGGACAAAUUACCCAAAACAUGUCUGAAACAUCUACAUAUGUCAAAUUAUCAUUCAAAACCUUCAUAUAACACAUGAGUAUAUCCAUCUAAGGAAGAUUAUCCCAAGGUACAAAAUGAUAUCAAGCAUGCAUGACAUAUUUUUGGACCACUUAGUUACUUUACAACAAAUAUUCAUAUGGUUCUAAUCCUAUGUACAUGCCACUCUAUUACCAAAAUCUAAGUUCCAUACACUUCAAUCUUUGCUUGAUGAUGAGAUGAGGAUGAGGAUAGCCACUUCAAAAGAUGUCUUCAAAACGAUUUUUACCUACGCAUUCAAAAAACUCGUUAAGCUUUGUACUUAGAAUUCUAACUUACCUUUUUAAUCAAUAUAGUAUAUCAGUAAAUAAUUACUUAAAUAAUAAAUAUGAUAAACAUGGCUCCUAAAAACUACUUAAAGAUUGAUAUGAGCAGCAAGGUUGAAUAGCAUCAUUUCACUUACCACAUUUUAUUCAUGCAUUUUCAUUCAUUAAUCACCCACUUUGCCCAUUGUAGACUUGAAUGAACAAGAAGGAUAUAUGAAAUAUAAUCACGAAGUACAUAAGCAUGUAAGUGCUAGAAUAUCACGAAUACUAAUAAUGUUAGAACACAAGCACCAAAGUGCUAAAUUCACAAACGCGCUAAGGAAUUCCUAAUAGCAUGCCAUCUACAUCCAUAAGUUCAAAACUUCUCUACAAGGGCUUUAACAUUAUUAUAAAUUCAAUAUUCAUCACAAGCACAAUCAAGUUUCAUAAUUUCAUUGUCACACAUAACUUUUCAACAUUUUACAAUUUAGUCCUUUUUUACACACAUAUAUUCACAUCAACAAUGAUCAUAUUCAUUUACUACUUCCUUGAAUUAUUCACAUAUUUAUUAAGUUACUGUAACAACUCGAUUUUCAAUGGUGUUGAAAAAAGUAGUUUCGGAACCCUAUUUUCGUAAACCGGGUCCGUAAAUAUUAAAUUAAAAUAAUUAAAAAAUUGGUAUAAUAGUUUAUUAAAGUUUGGUCCUUUAAAUUUUUUUCUAUUAAUUGUUUAAUUAAGGUACAAUGACUAAAUUGUAAAAAAAGUUUAUCGCUAUAGGUUUUUAAUUGACCAAAGGUCUAGCGGUUUAAAU